UUUUUUUCCUUGUUGUCUACACUUUUUUUUUUCGUGCCCUCACAAUUGUGCUUGCUCUACUCUCUAUAGAGAAAUUUGCUCUAUUGGCUCUUGAAACAUGUGAAUUCGCAAUUUUGACACUCCAAUAUAAUAGAUUCAUAAUUUUGACACUCCAAACAUUGUGUUGCUUGAUUUCCUGACAUUCUCCCUUUCUAAUAUAUUUUCUUUUGUUUUUUUACUUUUCUUUUUUAUCAAAAGACUACAGCACCCUUGCCUCUCUCAUUCUCUCUUUCUUCCUGAAUCCCGGCCCAUCGAGUGAACUUAUUUUGGUACAAAUGUGAUGAAGGUUUAGUUAUCAAGCCAUCGUGUGAACUUAUUUUGGUCCAAAUGUAAUGAAGGUUUAGUUAUGAAUUAUAUGUGAGUUAUACAAUCGGUGGUUGAGAAGUGUGUGAACUAUGCCACCUAUGGAUGUGUCUAAUGUAGAGAUAUUUAUGCUAAAAAAUAUCUUGUGGCAUCAUGCCAGUUAGGUGGCCGCAAACUUAUUUGUAUUAUGUAAUGUUGUCAUAUAGCUUAGGGGCAAGAUCAACGUUUUAGGUAGCCUAAACAGCAAAAAAGAAAAUGAGUGUGUGUGAUAAGAUUAGAAUGUCAUAAAAUCAAGCAACACAGUAUUUGGAGUGUCAAAAUUGCGAAACCACAUGUUUAAGUGUCAAUAGAGCAAAUUUCUCUUCUCUAUAUAUACUCAUCCGAUAAAAAUAAUUGUCACUGUUGAGUUUCCAUUUUUUGUGGUUUACAUUGACCACUAUUUUCUAUUAUAAUAUAGGUAUAAUAUCAUAUAGAUAAAUGAGAUUAUGAAAAAAUUAAUUCAAGACAAACCAACCCAUAUGAUUUUUAUAUUUUCAAAUUAAAUAUCUUGAAACUUAUUGACAGUCGAUAUUUCAAUAGUUUGACUGGAAAAUGUGGCCUUUUCGCUCAACAGGGAAAUUACUUUAUUUGGGUAUCUGUGUAACACUAAGUUCUAAAUUCCCUGUGAACUGAGCGGAGUUAAGUUGGUAAGUUUCCUUGUGGUGGAGCCUGUCCACCCAAUUUCGAGUUCUCGACUCGGUAUGGGUUUUCACAUUUUUCCUAGAUUUGUUCGAUGAAUUAAUUGGCGUUAUUCUUUCAGUGGUAGGCUCGACGUGCCCAUCAAUAGCGAAGCGCAUCUGAUGACUUCAUCGAUCUUAAGAUCUAUCGGCUCAGUCUCUUGGAGGUGCUCAUAGGGGUAAGGUUGAUUGCUUCUGUGUAUUCAUAGGGGUGAAUGCGCUUUAAGUGUUUUUGAGUGUCUUCGUUUGUACUGUGAUUCAUAAAAAAGUGUUUCUUAAUUCCCUUUUCUUCUUUGCAACAUGUGGUUGUUUCUCCUCUGUGGCUAGCUCUUGGCCCCCAUGCUUUCCACGCAGUAGCUUUACCUUUACGCUUUGCAUGCACCUGAUCUGGAGAGAUGGAGAAUGAGCUAUGAUUAGCGCCAAAUGUAUCCUGAUUCAAUCCGGAGGGAUUCGGCAACACAUGUGAAUACGGCUGAAGAUUAACUGCUGCCGAUGGGCAGCAGUCUUAGUCAUCUAAGAUUAAGCUGCAGUUAGCACUGGAUGUCACAAUUAACAACAAUCAAACACAAUGCUCAGAGACUCAGAACGUGCCCACUAUAACAAGUUCCAAUACAGUUGAUGAGUCUGACAAUUGCUAGGUAGACAUCACAUUAUACUUGAACAAUGCUCCUCAGCUACAUAGUGAAGGGGUAAACCCACAAAGUCCCUGUCCACCCAUAGAAAAGUGGCAAACUCGAUCAGACGGGGAUAUUGAGAAGAAGUGAAGCAAUUAACACGACAGAUUAAGAUUCAAGAAUCCAAAAGAUGGCGGGAGACGAUAGCAAAAGCAUCUGCAAACCAACAUGGAAACCAAUCUAUCGAGCAGAACGAGCAUCAGCAGUCGCAGCGUCGCCGGCAUCGUCGGGCCAACUCGAUAUCCCAGCAUGGGUGAGCAACGCCCAGAGGAGCGUUAUCAGCUCUCCACCCCGUGCGGUGGCCUUCAAAUGACCUCUAACAUUGUCUGAGGGAGCAAUGUACAGGACCAUCCCUGACCAGAAUUCAGCAAGCACCUUCCAAGCCGUAUCCUCACCAUCGGCCAGUAGUUGCUUUCCAAGCCUGACUCCAUUCUUGAGAACAUCAUACUUCGAAUUCACACUUAGUAAUAACUGGGCCACCUGCUCAUACUCGGCCACUGGUGUUAAUGAUAAUCCUUCUGCAGUACGGCCCGCGAGGGCACGCUUAGCGUCCUUCUUGACAGUAUCAUACAGGCUCUUGCUCCAUUCAUCAUCAUCUGGAAGCAGAUCUGGAGACCAGGCCAUUAGGUAUGCACAGUACUUUGACAGGUGAGUAGCAAUAAUCUUGUCAUUCAAAUCAGAAGGAGAACCUUCUUGACCAUGUUGGCAUGGGGGCCUAACCUCAAGGAGGCAUGUAGCAAUGUGCCAUGUAAGUAUGGUUUCAGAUGUGCCAUUGCUGCUGCAGGCCCAGAGGAACCUUCCAUCUAUUCGGCUCAGGCGUAGAGACUCUGUGCCAUUGCUUAAUUGGUGCCUAUUGUAGCUGCCUCUCAGAGCACUGAUGAUGCGGGCCUUCACUGCUUCUGGUAUCUUCACACUCCUAUCUAGGUCCGGGAGACGGAGGAGACGUCUAAGAGAACAAGCAGGGUUGUUCUUGGGUGAAGGACAAUUAUUGAGCUCUGGCCCAUCUUUUCGUCCCAAUGCUUCAUCAGCCCCCAUUUGCAAUUCAGCAGAAGGCCAAACCAAUUUUGCACGUGGAGAGAAGGCUGCAAAGAGGCAUGGUUUAUAUGGUGGCAGAUGAGAGCUACUUUGGUCCAGUUAGAGCAAACGUAGGACACUAUGUACUUCGCCUCCGCUAUCACAACCAAUGCCAGAAGCAAAAAUAAAGGAAUGUCAUCAAAGACGAAGAAUCCAAAAUUUUUAUCCUGCCUAUCGCUUACCAAGAACUUAUCAUUACACCAGAAAUGACAACGUAGCUGAUGGUUAUACUUGGUCUUCCAAUUUGAUAGGAGCCCCAUCAUGAUAAAUCUUGUAGCCAACAUGCAGUAAGUUAUGCUUAAGAGUGAGAUACUGACACUCAAGAUGGGCAACCAAUGCUUCGAAUAGGAGACUGGAAGUGAUGAGUAGUAAUAAUCUUGAACGAAAGAAAGCUCAUCUGCAAUUACCCGAAACACCUUUUCAUGGCCGCCAUCUUUGAGCAAGCUCCAGAAAUAGUUGAGGGCCCCCAUAGAUGUAACAUUGGCACGCUCAUACCUCGCAAAUCGACAUCUCAACAAUUUGAAAAAUCCAAAUGACAAGCACAGGUCAGCACGAUCUUUGUCCAUUUGCCAAACCAUGUCAACGGUCACUAAGCCAAUGCUAUUGUCAAAGUCUAAAUACCCAGGAGGCUGCUCCGGUAUACCCUCUUCUCCAAUAACCAAGAGUGGAGGAGGCACAUCCUCACCUACCGAUGCUUCACCGGGUUGCCUUGUUUCUUGCAGUUGUAACCGCUCCAUGUACAAAGAGACAGCACGAGGAUUACGCCCAAAUGCCAACGAUUUCCGGGCCUUCUCAAAUGCAUAAUAUUUUAAGACGAUUUUAGCACAAACAAUAGCAAAAGGCAUUAAUUCAAGGUAAAGGGGCCAGAUAUUGGUCGUAAUCGGACCCAUGGCAGUGACGCCGAGGUAUAGGGUCCAAACACCUUGAACAAGGAGUUGGACAGGGGGACCUUUGUUCCUACCCUCUCUAUCGCCAACAGCGACUACUACGCUAGUAUUGAUAGUGAUUAUCUGAAUGAGAAAGGCCCAUGAUACGGCUGUAAAAUAAUGAAAACCUCCACGGCAUGUCGCAGCCAAGGUUCCAAACUCAUAACUGUUGAUGUAAUCUGUUGGUGCUAAUGCUAGACAAGACGUACGAUGUAAUCGGCAAUAACAAGGUACUGGCUCCAAGAUAGAUGAACCGCGUGAAGGGGUGGUGGCGGUAGCGCUGGCAAUAGGCGCCUAUCCCAACUAUAACUCCAGCCAAGAUAGCAUCGAUGAGCACCAGCAUGUUCACCCGCCACAAGGUCCCUCCCAUGGUCUUACGGAAGGCUGCCCAGGAUUCAUGUGAGCACCUAAUGCUCGAGGAGCAUUGCUGGAGUGAAGCAUCGGAGCAGAAGGUGGUGGAAUUCUCCCCAGCCAUAAGCUAGCCGACUGCCAAACCUCAACAAAAGAACAAGAUGUUGGCACAAAUUAAACCCACAAAGAAGUAACUUAUGCUCCAAGGGACAUGUACUAGGCGAAAUUAAAAGCUUGAUUUCCUUUAUAAAGGAACUAAACGAUUGAAAUGUAACAAGACGACAGUUGCUUGGUGAUUGUAUUAGGGCAGUCCCAAUGGGACAUUGAUGAUAGUUUCUAUCCCUCUUAAUUAUCAUGCCAACUAAGCAAUUUGCUGAUGUGGCAGUAGAUUUAUUAUGGAGAGAGAGAGAAACCAUUUCUUAGAGAGGAAACCAAGUCCUCACGUGCACCAAUGAGCCAAGAAACCAGUGAUUCAGCAUUGGGGAGACCCAAGUAGUUUCUUCUUAAUUACUGCAGGAUCCUUUGCGCUUGCACCGCUGCUACCCAUCACUCGAGCUCCUUUACAUGAUGCACAGAGGAUCUGGUACUAGAUGGGAGAAUGAUUGGUUGGAUUUUUAUUUAGACUCUACAUAAAAAAGUUGCAUUGUGAAGGAUGAUUUCUUGAUACAAUAUCCUAGACUAUGGAAACUAGGUUGGUUUCUCCCAUUAGGACUGCCCUUAUGGUAAGUAGGAAGAGAGAUUUCCACUUACAGUAGUUAUGCAAUCCGGCGGCCUGCUGGGAAAUAAUGCCUCCUUGUGUUAAUGGUUGUAUGCUGAACGGCUUUGCAAGUAAUGCGUGCGAUGGCUUAUCGUUCACGAGGUUGCGUUGUUCUCUAUUCCUUUGUCCCGAUGUGCUUCGUAACUUGGAGAGGGCUCGAAUAUAUCUGCAUGCUUUUGAUGGAGUUGUCUGCCAAUCACUCAAUCCAAACCAAUUUGACUUUCUGGAAUAUAUACUAUGUUGUUAGAGUUCAUCUUGACAUCGAUCCGCGUAAAGCGUGUAAGAAGAUAGGGAGUGGACUUUUUGGAUGGGGAAGGAACCAUAUAAAAUACUAAAAAAACAAAACUUGGGCGGGCAUCGUGAAGAUACCAGGAAAUUUUUGUAGAAUCUUACUAUUACUAAUUGGAGGCUCCUUUUGAAGCCUCCAGGUAAAGCCACCUAGGAUUCCUAGGUGGACACUCUAGAAAAAGAGAGAAAUCCUAGAAAUUCUCAUAAAAAAGCAAAACAUCCGACCAUCAAUCGAUAGAUUCAAAUCAUCAUAGCCAUUGGAUCUAUUACAUUUUCUAAAAAAUUACCCACCUAUGCCAUUACAAAACUAGCCUAAAGUAACCCCCUAAAUCUAUAUAUAAAGUACCCACCUAUACCAUUAUAUAAAAUAAACUAAAGCAACCCCUAAUCUUCAUCACAAUUACCCACUUAUACCAUUAUAAACAAUAUUUAAAAUAACCCCCUAAUUUGCAACUGAAUUGCCCACCACUGUUACUUAAAAAACUUAAAGUAACAUUUUAAAUUUGCAUCUAUCUUACCCACACAUGCUAUAUUAAAAAUAACAUAAGAUAACCCUACGUUUGAAUCAAAUAACCUUAAUUAAAAAUAUACAACAAUAUAUGAUUCUAAAUCAUCUAUAUCUUGCACUAUUGGUAUAUGAUAUAAUAAUUAAGGUCUAUACGCAUGAUGUGUGUCACCAUUUAUAAAGAUCUAAAGUGAUGUAAAUAUAGAUUUCUACGUUAAAAUUGUUUCUCAAACUUAGGGUUCAUUAAACAAAUUCAAGCGCAUACCUGCGAUGUAAAGUGAAAAGUUAAAGAUUAUAAAUAUGGAUGAAAAUAUUAUAGAGUAAUUACAAACUAAAAUCUAUCACAAUUGGAUGAAGAUAUUAAGUAUAUAUCUAUAUAAGUAUUAUGUUCGAAUAUUUAACAAACGAGAGGUAGCUUAUGGUAAUAGUUUUGUAGCAAUGUAGUCUUAUUUUUUUUCCAUUGGAGGCUCCCCAUUAGUUCCCAUGAGACAAGCUAGAAAAAAGAGAUAAAUUCUCAUAAAAAUUAAAAACAUCAAACACCAAUCCUGUAAACUCUAAUAAUCAUAGCCAUUGAUCUAUUAUAUUUUCUAAAAAAUUACCCACCACUAUCAUUGUGUAAAUAUUAAAAAAUGAGCUAUAAACCUAUAUCUAAAUUACCGAGCUUAGCUAUUAUAAAAAAUAAUCUAAAGUAACCCUGUAAUCUUCAUCCAAUUUACUAAUACUUAUCAUUAUAAAUCAUUAUAAAGCAUAACUUAAAAUGUCAUUCUAAAAUUUUAUCUAUGUUACCCACGUACGUCGUUAUUAAAAAUAACCUAAUAAAGUAAACAUGUGCAUCAUACGUCCAAAAGUAAAUUAAUAUAUGAUUCUAAAUUACCUAUUUAUGUCAUUGUUAAUAUAAAAAUACUAAGUUAAAGUAUAUACACAUGAUGAAUCCCACCAUUUAGACCAUUUAUACAUGUAUGUGAGCAAUCGAUGAAAAAUAUUGAUUUGUAUGCUAAACAUAAUGUAUGGAGGAUUGGAGGUGCGAUACAAAAUGGAAAAAGUAUGAAUAUGGAUGAAAAAGUGUAUAGAGUAAUUAUUAAUCAAAAUCAAUCAAGACAAAGAUAGGUACAUAUCUAUAUAAGUAUUAUGUUGAAGUAUUGAAAAAAUAAGAGAGUACUAGGUAAACAAUUUUGAUUAUUAGCUAGGAGUUUAAUUUCUAAAUAAUUUUCAAAUACAAUAAUUUCUAAUAAUAUUAGCCCGUGCGGGAGCACGGGUUGGUGGACUAGUCAGCCUUAAUUAAUAAAGAAUUAUGAGAUCCUGAACUAAAUACGCAAGGGGAAAAAAUAGAUUUGACUAUGAGCGAUGCCAUAUAUUCUGAACUACAUAAUACUAUGUGACAACAGACAAAAGAUUGCCGAGGACAAUCUUGACCAAAUCGACUAAGCAAAGGGAGUGAUAGACAGCUGACAAAGUGACAAGCAUAAAGCAUACCUUGAACAGAAGCAUACCGUCGAAUCGGGCGCGGAUCCAUCAAGUGGAGAUGAGCACCACCACCAGGCCCUGGACUCUGGAGUGCUUGUGCUUAACUAAUUAUUAGCUCCAUCCAUCUGUGCAAAUGGCCGUCCAAUAAUUUUUCCUGGUCGCAACUGGCCAAGGAAGAAGCAACCCUGCCUGCAUCAGAAAAUCAGACGAUGACGCACGAGAAGAUGCAUUCCAAACAGUGAUAGGAAUACGCAAUUUAAAAUGACCCUCCACGAGGACGACUAUGCCUCGUAGGAGCAUCAUGGUGUGAGAGUGAGCUGGGUGCUAGCCGGGAAAGAGACACGGUUGCAGGGCGAGGCAUCCGGGUUAAAAGAAGCACGCAUAUGAGAGUUGUUUAUCAUUCAUCAAGCAGAGAACAAAUGAUACAAAGUGCGGUAAUACACACGACCAGGGGUAUUUUGUCUGAAACAAGUUGAUGAAUACAUGAAAAGAACCAAUAAUGAUAUAUAGUACAGCGGCAAGCACUGUGAGAAAUAGAUGGCCAAGGCCUCAAUGGUAGAUGUCAACAACACCAGCAUCCUUCCAAUUAGACUUGCAGUAAUAAGAAGUCACUAAAGCACACCAGGACAACAAUUAUAUAUCUUGAACAAUUAAAAAAGUGAACAAGUGGCAGGUCAAUAUCAGCAUAAGUGAUCAGGGCUUGCUGAAAGUUUCCUUUGAUGAGAAUAACAGAGCUUUCCUAGAAUCUGCAAGUUCAAAAGUAAAUUAUUAUGAAUUAUGACUAAGGUGAAGAUGGGUUGGACCCAUUUUUGACAUUGAGUAGCGCUUAUAUUUCAGUAUCUAUUAUUUUUUCAAUGACUGACACAGAGCAAUUUAAUGAUAGCAACAAUACUCACUAUUAUGAUCACUAUGAUCUCAUCGCGAGCUCGUUCCACAAUCCGCACAAGACUUUCCUGUUGAAGGACCAUCCCUGUUGCUGAAAAAUAAGAUCAUCAUUAGCUAAGACAAUUCCAUUGAUUGGAGCACCGAAGCCUAUAUAAUACUAUUUGGAACAUAUGUUGAGAGAGAGAGAGAGACUUACGUUGGACGCGAUGCUGGUUGAUUUCCUCCAUUAUUUUCUAUGUCGGCGACGUCGUUUUGACCCCUGUCCAGGAUGCCAGCGUGGGUGAGCAAUGCCCACAAGUGCGUUAUAAACUCCCCUCCUUUUGCCAGGCACUCGACGUGCUCCUUCACAUUGUUUGAUGGCGCGAGGUAGAGCAGCAUCUCUGCCCAAAAUCCCGCCAGCACCUCCCAGCAAUGGUCAGCCUGCAUAUUCUUGAGCUGCUCCCCCAGCCUUAGGCCCUUGCGGUAAAUCGUCUCCUCAUCCCCAGCUUCUUGUGACUGCUGCUGCUUCAAUGCUUCUUUUGCAACCAGCAUAAAAGCAUGCCAUGUAUCGUAGUGGUGACCCGGGAGAAGCUUUGGUGCAAAAGCCACCAAGUAUGCACAGUAUUUGGACAGUCUUGUGGCGACCUCAUAAUGCUCAUUGGUGAUGGCACUACCUGAUGCUGAAAAUUCCCUGUCGCAGUAGCAUGUUGCGAUGUGCCAGGCCAGAAUAACACACACCUGGUUCUCCUUCUGCUGCAAGGACACCGAGCCGAACUCGAGGCCUUGGCGAAGCUUGAGGCUGCAAGCCCACAAUAGCUCAUAUGCCCCGCUGGACGACAGUGAUAACGCCCCGUUUGUCAGCUUAUUACCAUGGCGAUGGGUGCGUUCAAGGGACUGGACAAGUGCCUUCUUUACUGCUGCAAGCAACUCUGCAGGUUCACCAGGCUUCCGGACGACGCUCCGUACGUGAUUUGGUAUGACUCGGCUAAAACCUUCCAGCACUGAAAGCCAAAGUAGAAAUACAUGCUGGAGAAUGACCAGGAACUUGGUAAGCUUGGAUUGACUGGAGAAGUUGCUCAGUGAUUCAAGCAACGAAUACUGCCCGAGCUUUUGCUCGUGGUGGUGCCAGCGGCAGGAUGACACCCACAGACCAAUUUUGACAAGAAAAUCUUUAAGCCCCAUGCAGCAGCCUUUCCUUUUGAUGCGCUGGAAAGCAAAAGAUACCCUGCCCCAAAUGGUCGUCCAGUAGUACAUCACCUGCACCACUUGAAGGAAAGAGAUGCACACAAGUAUAGCUACGGUGAGAUCAAUAUCAGCUGCUGUGGUGUCCACGAUGACAGACCCCUCCAUCCCUUUAUUAGGAGGCGGCCGCAGCAGGCCUCGAGCCGUCUGGAAGGCUGUUACAACCGUUAAGGUCCCUGAGACAAGUGGCAGCACAUAUCGCAUCAUAAAACUUCCAUAAUAAAUGGCAGCAUACUUGGUGAAGAAGAAGUCAUACAUAAAAGCCAGCUCAAUCUCAAUCACCUUGAAAAUCCAGUCAUAGUCGAUUGCGGCGCUGGCCCCUCCAUCGUCAUUCUCCUUCUUCUUCUUGGCGAGCAGCCCCUUGAAGACAAGAUCACGUGUCUUGGGCUGCGAUGAUUCACCGCACUCAAACCCGAAGAAACGUCUCCGUAACAGAUGGAAAAGGGAGAAGGAAAGGCAUGCAUCCUUAAGAUCAGGGCUUAGAUCAUCGUUUCGCCACACCUUGUCUAGGUCAAUGAUAUCUGGAUCAGAAGGGUCACUUCUAAAAUGUGUUACGUACUUUCCAUCACCAAUAUAUGCACGACCAAUAUAUGUGCUGUACAGCCUGCACUCCACGAGGUAAUGGUAACCUGUCAUGGUGGCUGGAUCGUAAGCUCCUCUGCUCAUGGUGUGCUCCUGAUACAUGUAGUCAGCAACCAUUUUAUUCAAGAACCAUGAUUUGCUUGCCAUUCGACGUGCAGCUAAUCUUUGUAUAAAAUAAAUGGAAGAGACGGAUAUCAGAUAACAAAACGGGAACACUCUGAAAAAUGACCCGCCAUCCAGUGUAGUUCUCGCAAUCAUGCCCACGUAUGCGCACCCGAGAAGAUACUGGAAAAACUGUCUCAUGACCUGGCUGUUGUCGGUGAGACUAUAAGCUGUGAUAGAGUCAGCACAACCAAAGAGGAUGGACAGGGAUACUGCCCACAAUGAGUACAUGCCGCUCUUUAUGGCCGAAGACUGCAUUGAACCUAGUGUGUAGGAUACCAGGGAGGAGGACAAGGUGUAUGCACCGAAUACACCUUUCUGGAUGAAGAAGUUUCUGCUCCGACGUCGACGGGACCCGCAGGCGAUAAGGAAUAACUGCAGGAAGACAACCACUACUACGAGUACCUCAAUUCGGAUCACCGUUCCCCUAGGGCUCUUCCACAAGUCCUUAGUGCGGUUGGACAAUAAUAUCAACGUGGCAUUUGCAUCACUAAUAUGAUCAAUGUUCCUCAACGAGAAGCAGUACUCAUGAAGCUGCAACAAGCCAAAUAAAGCACUCAUGUAAUUAAAGCCUAGGGCCAAAUAAUAAUAUCGACCACAAAGGGUCACAGCUAGGAUGGACUCUAAACACAUUCCCAAGCAAAACCGCAGCGCUACGGAGGCUGUGAGGCCUAUGCAUAAAGAGAAAAAAAAAGAGCUGUCCUAUUGGAGAUGAUCCCCAUCCUGUUUCUUUGGAUCUAAAAGUACUAAAGGCCUCUUUGGCAGGGCUCUUCAAACAGCUCCGGCACUGGCUUCUGCAGGAGCCCUGUCAAACGCCAAUAAACAAAACGGCUUCGAGGUCGAAGCCCUCGUGGAGCCGGUCGCGCAAAUGAACCGCGGUGGAGGAGCUGGAAAAACCAGCUCCCCGCAGCUUGCCCAGCAUCAAACUAGCGUGAAACAAUAUUGAUUUACCCUCGAGUUCGCGUAAUUUAUUUACAGCAAAAAUGCCACAUGCAUCCCAUCCUCACCGUCCCCUUUCUUACCGUCAGCAUGGCGGCGUGCAGCUGGAGGAGCACCGCCGGCUGGCCCGGGCGCAGCCCCCAGCUCCGGCAAGCGCCGGCACGGCCUCGCAGCCCGACGUGGUCGCGAGCGCCUAGCACGGCGGCCCAGCCUCACCCUCGCCUGACAGCUAAUGUUCGCGUGGAUGGGGGUGCAGCAGCGGGGAACAAGCAAGCAAGCAGCGGCAGCAGGCAAGCAGCGCCCCGGUGUUAGCAGAGACGAGGCUGCAGGAGCAGGGACGGAAGAAGGGAUGCAGCAGGGGCAGAGGAGAACGGCCUCGCGUUGGCGUGGUUGAUUGAACUUUGAAGCAGGAUGGCGUGUGUGGUCGUGUGGAUAAGGUAAGGAAGCAGUAGAAGAACGGAUAAGUAUUGAUGAAAAAAAUGGUGAAAAAAAAGAGAAAAUAGAAAGAGGAGAGAAGGACAAAAUAAAGAAAUGAGAACAAAUCUAUAUCUAUACCUAAUAUUAAAGAGAGGAUGUUGCUUUCAAUCCUCCAGAGUCGUGGUAAUUUUGCGAACAGCCCCCCAAGCCCGCAGUCCAUCCCUCUCGCACGCAAGUCGCAACGCGUCCGUUCUUUGUCCGUUGUCAUCCUGGCAAAAUUUUGGUCCGUACCGGCCUGGAGUGAGCUUUCGUCCGGGCAGGAGAAGGAACUCGACUGACUCGAUCCUACACGUUUGCACUGCAGUCAAAUAUGUGAGCUCGUACGUGACGUGAGGCCCAGGCGGCAAGGAGCCAUCAGAGAGAUCGGUUUGGAAUUGGAUAUGUGCGAGGUGUCCUCUCCGAUAGCUCUGGCGACGAUGGAGGACCCCAAAGUGCGGUUCGCCAACGACGUGUGGGUCGACGCCACGAUGCGCCUCAAGGUCGGCUACGCCGCCGUCGUCUCCGAGAUUAACACACCGUCACGCCCAGGCGUGACCGGCGUCCUUCAAGGAUAUGUUUAGGCCCCUCUCGCUGCAACUUCUGCCAAGGAAAUCGUCACAAAAAUCCCAUGAUCGACUCCAAUCUCUCACCAUUUGCUUCAUGUCUUGAAUUUUUUAUGCUUGCAGCCCGAGGGCCUUGCCUAUUCAGGCGCGCAGGGCGUUUGUUGCCCACCGCCAGAGGAGCGUGCGGACACGCCGUGCGGCCGACCAGUCUGCUGGUUGAUCUGCACGAGUUCCCACUCAUCCGCCUGUUGAGUCAGCUUGCCGACAUAGUCGGUGCCGCCAGCUACUUCCUAGAUGAGCGAGCAGGUGGACUUGGCGGCGGCGGUCGGGCGGAACGUGGAGGGUGGGUCGACGGCGGAGGAGGAAGGGUUGAAGACCUCGAACGAGCCCCGGGUGUCACGUGGUAAUGCAUGCAAUAAAUCCAAGUCCAAGCUGGCCAGAUCCUGUAUGUGCGAGAGUUGACGUAUCUUUACAAAAACUUUGAAUUAUUGCAGCGCGAGGCAAAAUCAAUUGUAUUUUCUGCAGAGAACGAAAUGCAUUCUCUGCACAGUUUCCAGCUCUUUCAGGUUGUAUGGUGUGCUGACGGACAGAUUUGCUUUUGGUAUUGGCCAAUUGCUCAAGAAGUCCAAAAAGUCAAAUCUUCUAGAGUUGUUGGUUAUCGACGGAACUGCACAACUCAACGAGUGUGAGACCGUAACUCCCUUGCAGCUGCCUGGCAUUAGGCAGGCUUUUUUUUAUUACCUGCUCUGGUGAAAAGCAAAGUAAGCUACAUACGGUUGACUAUCCUUUUAUUUCAAAAAAAUUUCCUUUUGGAAGCGAUGUAUUGACGUGUAAUGUGAUUCUGUAGGUAUCUGACAAUGUUAACUUGGGGCGAAGUGCUUUUUUGAGAGGUUAAUUAGGUAUGCUUCGCUACGGUAAGCACCUUCUCCAUGUGCAAAACAGAAUACAUCCAAAAAUAAGCAAAAUUCCAGGUGUUACAUUUUACGAUGGAAAGAUAUCUUACGGUCCCAAUAUCACUACUAAGAGCUAUGAGAAGAGAUUUCUUCAUUUUUAUCAAGCAAAAUCUUUAGGUCGUACUCAUUCAUAAAUGUAGAUGGUGAAACAACCGAGAAGCACAACCGUAGCCUGAAAACACUAUCGAAUCUGCUGCAGUUUCGUGACCGUUGCAACGCACGGGUAUGUGUGCUAGUGACAACUAACGAGAUUAGGCUGUUAGUUUUUUGACACGGCCCUGCUCACCGCGGCUAAUCACACAGGUUAACGGAUUAUUGCAAUACUACCACGCUUUUUAAUGUAUAGUCCAUCUUUUCAAAGAAUAGUAAAAAAACUCAUGAGCACGUAUUUCAUGGAAAGACACAAGUGACUUUUGAGUUGUUAUGCACAACCUUGUGGGUACCUUAUUGAUGGCAUCUUCGCCUAGAACUUUUUUCCUAUUUUUGUCAUUUUUUCCCUCCUGUUUUAAUCACAUCCAUACCGUCUGCAUGGCCAACAUGAAUACUUGCAAGUGUCCAUGUCAUUUGAAUACCACCGGCUUGAAAACCAGUAGGGAGUGGAGUUAAGAUCCGCCACAGAUCUGAUUACUUACUGAAAGGACAGCAGGGAAUUUGAUCCAUUUUCUUAAUCGUGUUUACAAAUCUAAAUGACAGAUAUUUUUCCAUAGGAGGGAGUAUCGCCUCUUUCCUGUUCCAUGCCCUAUUUAGAUAGAGUAAUAUCUAAUAGGAUUUUGUCAUAUUUGUACUCAUUAGAUAGGUCAAAACUUCUUCUAUCGAAUAAGAUCAUAAAUGAUCCAAUUCCUUUAAGGUUUAGCUUACUUCUAUGCCUUCCAGGUAUGCUGAUCAGAUAAACAAAGCAACCUUGUCAUCCAUAUGCCAAUAAUUCUUCCCAAACAAAAAAAAAGUACGCGAAUCAUCAAAGCGCAAAUGUGUCGGUCUCAAUUAUGUGCGGAAGCAUAAAUGGGGUUUUACUAGGGAUUAGGAAAACAAAGCAUUAGCUUGUGCCAACAACUCAGUCUCUCUUAGAAUCUCUGUACAGUAUAUCCUUGUUAGAUACUCCUAUAUACACAUACCUCUUGCUCCAGAUCUGUCUCAAUAUACUCUUGAAAUUUGGUAGCCACGCGCAUUUGACAUGCAUAUUUUCCUUACAUGUCUGUGGACAGCAGCCACCCCAGUCCCUUGAAAUUUCGUAGUCACAAAUUUUAUGUCACCUGCCUGCUGCUGUCCGGCAUCGUGCUAAUUAAUCACGCCCGUAAGCCGUCCAAACCUAUCAACAGACAACCCUCCAAAUGCGUUGACAUCGACUGGCGAGCACAUGUAUUGAUACGCAUUGUACCCUCAUCCGAUCCCCAUCAACCACCCUUUACCCAAUAUGAUACGCAUUGUACCCUCUGGCCUUGCUCCGCACUCGGACCAACUUCUUCACUCUUUACAGUUUAGCCUUCACAAUAUUUUUUUAUCCUGUAGUGCAAUUGCCAUAGAAAUUUGUAUUUCCAAAUCUUUCAAAAUGUACCUAAGAACAACCUUUCAUCGUACCGGUCACAUUUUGAUCUGGUACUACUACCAGGUCCAAAUUUGUGACCCUCCGGAGGCCUUUUAGUACCACACCGCACGACGCGAGACUUUAUUUUUUUUUCCAAAACAAGUUAGUACCUGUUGGUGUUACCAACCUUUCCUUUAGUACCGAUAUAGCAAUACCGGUUUUACGAUCGGUACUAAAGGAAGGUUCGUAACCGGUACUAAAAGCGGAAUUCCCGGUAUUGCAUUUUCAUGUCUAGUAAUGUUGGAACUGGACAGGAAAAUGGUACUAUUAUUUACAAGAAAACAACAGAAUAAGAAAGGGACAAAAUAACGGACCGCUCCGACUAACAACUCUUUAUCAUUACAAAAGGUCGUGUCCGGAUGAAGAACUAAAGCGACAUUGAUCAUAUAUAGUACGUGAAAAGCUAGCAGGCAUAUGUUUCUUUUUUUAUAUGUUUCCGAAUUCCUCCAUGCGUUCCACGCAGUAGGCUUUAAUUAUGCUUUGCUCGCGCCUAUUAGCUGGUUUAGACCUUUGAAGAAUGAUUAUAUUAGUCCUGAUCGAUCGAGGGCUCAGAUCGAAUAUGUUCCUUGCUUGAGACUACACAUCCAUUAACUCACUAAUGCGUCAUGUGAUUUACAGCAGUACGGCCUCGACAAGGUAAUGUAACUGGUGAUUCCCUGAACGUCAGUGACACUCAAAGUAAAUCGAUCGUGCAUUAUCAGAGAUUAAAGUUUUAUUUAACUUUUUAACACUCCUAGUCAUGGAUCACUUGGUCGCCUAAUAACCUAAACCUGAUCGAGUUGUUAAUUACUAAUAUAGUGGUGUGUUAAAUAAGACUGGAUCCAUCAUUGCUCGGAGAACUUCCUUCUAAACUGUUUACAUCAUUUGCGUUGUAGAAAGCACAGGGAUUAAUUCUAAAUAUCCAAAUGGUUCCGUUUGAAUUCAUACAUGCCAAAGAGCAGAGGUGUGAGAUGCUAAUUUUUUGUAGUUAGAGCUUUUUUGUUUCUUUCUUAAUUCCCCCAUGCGUUCCACACAAGCUAGGUACUAGGAUUUAUACGAGAUCUCUGAACGAGGGUUGGUUAGCUUGAUAAACAAUCACGUCGAAUAUGUUCCUUGGGUGGGGGUGCCGUUCGCAAGAAUGAUACUCAAAGGAAAGGAAUUGACGGAGCCCGCACAUACGGAUGGAAGAAAGAAUGGAUAGUCCAAUAGCGACUUGACGAGGCUCAUUAUAUAUAGGCCCGUCAAAUUCGUCAAGUCGUAAAUUACGACGUAUUUGGGCCGUGUGAGGCCCACUUCGUCCUAGGUCCAUAGGACCUUUUGACUCUGGCACAAGGUCAUCUCCUCCGAGGCAAUAAUAGGUGUGCAGCAAUAGGUGCUCUCUGGGCAUUAUGUCUACCAUUGCACUUGUACUAAAAUGAAGAUAAAAAUCUUGCGAUAAAACUCAGCUGGUUAAAAACCUUGCGAUAAAACCUACCUACUUGAUUCAAGUCAUAGACUGAAAAACAUACCGAUGAAUGGGAACGUGGAAAAAAGAACCGACCAUAUAACGUCAAAAAUAGGGCAAAACAAAAUAAAAGAGAGGCUAAAUAGGGGCAAAACAAGCCCCCCCCCCCCCCCACCCCCCACCAAAAAAAAAAAAGCUUAGCACAUCAUGUAGCGUGCUUGGCGUCUCAAUAAUCCGAUGAGUUUGAAUUUGAAAGAUUGCUAGCCACACGUUACACGUGGCGUGAUGACGUUGUUGCCCAUGGAUAUUUAGAAGUCGCUAAUCCUACUUCCACAGUCGAUGUGGUAUCAAAAAGAGACCAACAAAUUUUCGAGGGCAGUGGGCCAUCCAUCCUGUAGGUUGCAGACGCCAUAACCGGCCCAGUACAAGACCGCAGGCAGGACCUGGGCACGCUGUGGGCCCAUUCGGUGCACCCAGAGUACGUUGUGCUUCCGUAUAUACUGCGGUGUGUGCAUAUACUACGCAGGUCGUUGACGCUGGUCCACACUGCGCCAGCGCCUGCGCGCAAAUAAUGAGUGGGGUCCGGCAGUCGAUCGAUCGCCGAGUAAACGCUCGUUCAGACAUGUACACAGUACACACGGGAUGCGCGCGCGCGCAGCAUUACUCCCGACUUGGUUCGUCGUCGUCGUCGUCUGCACUUGGAAUUAUUCAUGGACCGGCCGGGUCCGCCGCAGAGCAGUGGCCAACCGGCCAAGGUGGCAGCCUGGCAGGGCAAGACAUCUCGCAACUGAUUUGGAACCUGCUGCUUCCUACAGCUGGAGGAGGCUGUCCUCCCGUUCCCGGUCUCUCUCCUUCGUGGUCUCGGUGUACGCAUGCGCUUGGUACUGGUUGUAGCAGCAGUUGUUGCGAAGGAAAGGCACGAGAGCUAGGACUAGGACUAGGAGAGCUAGGACCAGGACUGCAGAUGCUCUAAGGGCCGCCGCGACAGGCCGGCCGGCCCCCAUCCAAGUCUUCCUCGCGUUGCCGGAGGGCCGGGUCGUCGUCGUUGAGUCCCCUGAUGAACAUCCUAUCCUUUCCAAUUUCCAUGCAUAUCCAGGCAUGCACGACAUGGACCGUUCCUUCUUCCACCACUCUGUGCCGCCAAUCAUCCUCUCAAUUUGCAUGCAGCCAUAUGCAGGAAACCAAAACUUGUACUGGCAUUCCCUUUAUAAAAAAAGAAAAAGCUAAGCACAUCAUGUAGCGUGCUUGAAAUUCUCAAUAAUCCGUUGAGUUUGCAAUUGAAAGAUUGCUGACCACACGUUCCGCGCGGUGUGAUGGGCGUUGGUGCACAUGAAUAUUUGAAAGUUGCUGAACCUACUUCCACGGCCAAUGUGGUAUUUUCAUUUUGUUUUCCACGUCCAAUGGGGUAUUUUAACCGAAAGAGACGAACAAAUUUUGGAGAGCAGUAAGUAUGGAUUGAGGAGCCCACGUAGGCAGGAUAAGAUUGGUGCAAGAGCCCAGGGGCCUAGACGCUGUGCCCAGGGCCCAAGACAGGCGGCGCCCUGCAUUCAAUAAGAAUUGUUCACGUGUACACUUACGCGACGACGAAUGAGAUCAUAGAAGCAACCCCUUUUUUUUCCCGUAAACCAAAGCCAACAAAGCAGCAAGCACCUCGUUCAUCAGCUAACAGCUGGGAAAGCAGAGUGAUCACUGAUGCGAGUGAGAUUAUUAUUCGACGUUGCUGCUUCUACAGCACCGCACGGAGGGUAAAAUUCUGAUGCAGUUGGUACCUACCAUUGUUCUCGUGUCCUUUGGAUGGCAACCAACCGCAGCACGCAUCGGCCGGGCAAACGCAGCACGUUCCAUCCAGUCUGGCCUGGCACCAAAAUCUACCAAUGGAAGAUGUUUGAAUCGAUCUCCCCUUGCGAACGCUGUUUUUCUUUCUUUCCUUUUCUUUUUUCUUGUUUUUUUGGAAGAUGGGAGAUGGCAUUGGAUCCUUUGCACUGGCAGUUGUGUGUGCAGCACUCCCUAAUCCUUCCUCGGUUCGGUAGCCAGAAAAAGGAAUGCCCAGCUACCCGGAGCACCGCGACGGCAGCGGCGUGCAGGCGGACAGCGGAAGCCAGGGAGGUUCCAUCCAUCCAAAAAUACCCAUGUGGCCCAAUCCCAACAACCACUUCCGGACACAAGCGAGCGAACUGCAGCUGCACGGUGCACGCUUCCGGAAGCCCACUCGCUGGCACUCCAGGGCCCACGCGAUACGCACUCCCUAGCAACCCGCGGACAACCCAUGUGGCUUUGGGCCCCUGCACCCUUUGGCUCGGACGACCUGCCGUCCCCUUCCUCAGUUCCAUCCUCGGAUCCUCCGACCUGCAUUCCCCAUGCCUUUGCACUGCAAGCUCAAAGCCUCAAAUUUCCCCAAACCAAAAGUCCAAAACCACCACUGAACAAGGCGAUGAACUUGAACAGCAUUGAAUGCAAACAAAAAAGGUAAAGAAGAAGAAACUGAUGACAAAGUCUUGUUUCCAUUCCACACACAAACACAUCUUGCUACCACUUCGGUAGCAGCACAAGCGUUCAAAAUUCAUAGCGCAUAAACACCGACACAGCUUCGCUCGUUACUCCCUCUACUGCUACUGCUUCAAUUUGAUUGCUUCUAGACUUUAAAAAGCACCUAGAAGACCAACAACAACAACACCUCUACUCUCAAAUCACAAAAACGAUCCAAGAAUCACGAGAAGUGAUCACCUCCGCUCCGCGACCAAAAACACAAGAACAAAGCUCACCCGAUCGGCGCACCAAAACUUUCGCGACCAGGCGAGAUCACAAACGAACCACCCCUCAUCUCCCUCAGUCCCCUUCCCAUCGCAACCAUCCUCUCCACAACACUACCACUGCUGCUGCUGUACAGUUCCUUCCAAUUCCGGCAAUGCCACCACCAUUCCCAGCUCACCGCAGCAGCUCGGCGCGGGACGCCGACAGCUCCCUACGGAGCUUGCACGAGAAGAGCCGGCACGCGUCCAUGCUCAGGUCGACGGCGGCCGCCAGCGCCACGAACGCGGCGGCGUCCUCGGCGCACCCGACGUGGGCCACGCCCACCUCCACCGUGGGCUUGCUGCACCGUCCCUCCCCCUGCACGGCAGCCGACAUCACGAACCCUCGGAAGCUCCCGAACGGCCAGAGCCCGUGCCCGAAGUCGCCGCUGCCGCGGGGGCUGCAGCCGGGGGACCCGCUCCGGCCGAACGGCUGCGCCGCCGUCAGGUCGAUGGCGAACCGCCCGCCCUUGGAGGCCGGGACGCCGGACUCGGCCACGCACACGCCCACGCCGGAGUUGGUGUGGUCCGGGACGAGCUCGAAGCGGUAGCCGAGGGAGUCGCCGCCUGCGCCGGCACCGCCGCGCUCGCGCCAGCACUCGAGGCGGCCCCACGGCGUCCAGGUCCCGUCGACGGGGCGGAGGAUGAGCCAGCCGCCCGGGUUGGAGCGGCUCACGCGGUCGGUCCCGGGGGAGGCGACGAAGGGAGUCACCAUCGAGGCCAGCGCCACCGGCGAGCCCGACAGGUCGUGCACCGUCACCGACCACCCCUUUCGCUCCUUCCCCGCGCGCUCCCGCUCCGACCCGAACUUGGCCAGCCAGUUGCGCCCGCCGUUCCCCGGAUCAGACUGCACCGACCUGCAUGUAUUGGAUUCCAUCGAUUCUUCCAUCAGGAAUCGGCCGCAUUUGCUUGAAUGCAAUGAGGAGACAGGAGAAAGAGUGGUCACCUUGAGCGGAGGUCGCUGUUGCUGCGGCAGGAGAAUUUGCAGGUGAACAUGGGCUGCCUCAUCCGGCCCUGCACCUGGAGCACCUGUGGGCUGCACUCCGGCUCGCCGUCGAACUCGAACACGAACCUCGGGUCGGGUUCCGCGCGCACGGUCAGGUUCAGCUGCGCGUGGCCGGCAGCAGCGCCGCCGAAUGCCGCCCCCGCCGCCGCCGGCUUGCGGCCUGCGCGGCGCUUCCCGAUGGCGACCCACCCGCUAUGGAACACGACGGGCUUGGCGGCAGCGGCCCUGAGGUCGAGCGGCACCACCACCUUCCCUAGCAAUCUCCCCGAGCUGACCCCGCACGUGGACCCCCUCCUCCCCGCGUACACCGCCACCUUGAGCCGCGCGGUGCGGCGCGCCCCGAAGAGCGCGGGCUUCGCGGCGGCACGGUCGAGGUCGGCCUUGGAGACGUGGAAGGCCGCGGCGAAUGCGCCCGUGCAGGACGCGGGCCCCUCCUCGGCGGGCGGCAGCAGCGGGGCCGAGGCCGUCUGGUAGGGGAGCUUGUUGAGGCGGAUCCGGCAGUAGCAGGGCGCGGUUGUCGGGUGCACCCCGGCGCCGGAGCUGGAACCGCCGGUGCCCCCGCCGCGCGGGGCCGCCGCCGGCAUCUUGACCGCCAGGUUGCCGACCAGCACCCGCACGAACGGGCACGGGUCCAUCGCCGGCGGGGCGGCUGCCAAUCCUCAGGCCUCAGCUCACUCGCAACGCCUUCCUAGUUCCCCCUCCUCCACGGAUUGAAGCGACGCAAUGCGGAUCGAUGGAAUGGAAGCAAUGGCGGAUGGAUUGGAGAGGAAGGGAAGGGGAAAAGGGGAGGUGGUUUUCGAUUCCGGCGAUGGGAAGGAAGGAGUGGUGACGAGGGAUCAUAGGGUAUAAGACUGGCGGGGCCCCGCCAUGCGCCGGGCGUGGCCAGCCUGGAUCCCUCCCUCCCGGUGAGCUGUGCGCGGGGCCUCCUCCUAUUCCAGCCUCUCCAGCUCCCGUGCCGGGCCGCCAUCCUCGCAGACACGUGGGCCCGGACCAGGGACCUGGUCAUCCGAGUCCGCCUGUCAGUGUCGUGGAGUCGCUGUUGAGACGGUGAGUCCGGAUAAGGUGGUGGCGUACGGGGAGGCGUGCGGGGGCGCGGAGGCGGCCUGACCGCUGGCGUGAGACGCGAGCGCCCCGCGGCCGCACCGGAUCAGGAGAGGAGAGAGAGCACGCGGCCCGAGUGAAGUGAGCCCUUGUUUACUUCACCCCAACUCCCAACUUUGACACUAUGCAAAAAGAAGAUUCCCCAUCAUAUUAAACUUGUGGUAUAUGUAUGGAGUACGAAAUGUAGAUGAAAUUAAAAACUAAUUGCACAGUUUUGUUGUACUUUGCGAGACGAAUCUUUUGAGCCUAAUUAGUCAAUAUUUGAACAAUAAUUCACAAAUACAAACGAAACGUUACAGUAUGCUACAGUGCCGCACAGUAAUUUUGACAAUUCCGAUUUUGACAACUAAGGCCUGAGUCCAGUCCAGUUGCGCGGCAACGAGGUGCGCUUUUGCGGUGGGGGUGCCGUGGGGUCCCCGCUGUGGCCGCUUUUCCUCCUUGCCUGCGUUCGCGCUCACUUGACGGCGACGGCAAGGCGAUUUUUUUACCGCGCGCCCCUUUUUGCCGAGCCCGCGGUGAAAAGGCCGGGGAGGCGAGAUCGGGUCGUGCCGAGCCGUGCGUGCCCGUACGGGCGGGCAUCCGAUUGCUUGUUGGUGGUGAGAAAGGGAGGAAAAGGACAGGGCAGCGGGGGGGGGGGGGGGGGAAGCGGGGCCCCACGGUGUCGGUGAGCCCGAGCUCGUUCAUGAUUACGGCGCGGGGGUGGGGCCCACGCCGCGAUCUUUGGCCCGCGUCGCCGUCCCGCUGUCAGUGGCAGCUGGAGUGGCCCGGGCGAGGCGCGGUGACAGUGAAUGUUAGUUUUCUAACGGUCCCAGUUUUUGUCGAGCGAAAAUAACCGGUAUAGCGUUGCUUGGUCUGCGUCUUCGGGGAGCCGAGGGAAAUUUUCGCCGCUGCUGCAUGCUGCGGUUACGGCUUGGGCAGUUAAAUAAUAGGUCAAUGAAGACAGCGGAUUUGUGGCCGUGCGGAGGAUUUGACCUGCAUCCAAUCACAGCCAAGCUAGAUGCGGUGAGCCUGGAUGAGGCCGGAUACAGGCAUCCAAUCACCCCCGAAGAGAAGAGAACAGGAGAGGUCGCACGGGCGCAAUGAUGGGGGCGAUUCCCAGCUGAGGUGAGCUGCCGGAUGCCGCCGGCCCGCCGUGAACACCACGCUCGUGUCACAUGCGCCGGCGAAUAUACUACGCAAUGAUCUGUUUUCUUUUUUAUACAAAAAAUAAUGAAAUUAGUUUUGUUGGAGGAGAAUAAUCGGGAGGCGGGGGUCACGAAUUUACGAGCGGACUAGGAAUGUGCUGCCCAUGCUCCAUGAACUGUGGGUCCGUCCAAGGGCGCGUAGGGCCCGCCUGGAAGCCACCUAAGCUACGACUACGAGUGUGAUUUUUCAAGCUUUGAAGGGGAAAAUAGAAACGAAAAAAAAAAUACUGGGUUCGUUGGGGUUGGAGUACAGCUGCGAACAGGCUGUCACGGAUGAACGGGCGAGCGGCCGUGGCGGGCCAGCGACUGUUUGUUGGCGGUGGUGAUGAGAGAGACGAGGGCCGUCCAUUUCGAAUUCAAAACCUUUUUUUUUAAGUCUACCGGCAGUCCAGCUAAGCAUAGGGGGCUCCAUUCCAUCUUCUUUUCUUGUUGUAGGACGGGCGGAUCAGCUUGGGCCCCGCUUGCCGCCGCUGGCCUCAUGCAUGUUCUAGGCACAAAGAUAAGGGAUCACCAAAAUAACUGAUGUGAUGCAUCCUCGUGCGAAGGAAGUUGUUUUGAUUGGAGCUUGUAAGAUGAGGAGUCUAAUGUACAAAACAAAAUUAAAAUAUUUGUCCGACGUGUGGCCCAUAAUAAUGCUUUGCAGGUGACGUCAAACUCAAACAUUGCAAGAAAUGGAGUGAACCUAAAUACUCCGUGGCCAAUGUGCACGAGGUUUGACGAAUAUUAGACCAUCUCCUUUUGAAAUGACAGGAGGUUAAAACUGUGCUGGCGGCUGCUGAAUACGGUGAAUAAUGACAGGAGGUUAAGAGAGUUUCUCUAGCUUUGUUGGUGUCCACCGAUUUGCCUGGAGCGCAUGAUUAAUGGAAUUCGUUUCCAUUUUCUGUUUUUUUUAAGAAAAACAAACAAAGCAGGCGCGGACAGGCGACACGACCACAAGUAGGACGACUGGGACUUUGCUAGUUGCUCGUGAUGAUCUGUCGAUUUGAAUCUUUGCUUGUUGACAAGGGUCCUAGCUAACUAGCUCUGUUUGUUUCAGAUUUCUGACAGUUUCUUAGCAUGAAAAGUUAGAAGUUUAAAUAAAUAGCGAUCUUCUCGUAUAGCUUCCGAAAAACUGGAAGAUCAGAAAAGUUGAGUUUAUAUAAAAGUUGAAAAGCUCGACUUUAUAAGUUUUUCGUAGUUUUUUUGAGCUCCGAAAGCUAGACACAUCUUCUAGAAGAUAGCAAUAGUUCUUUUAAAAAACUCAAAAACUGCAGCUCAAAAAAAGAGGAUGUAAAUCAGACAGCAACUUUGAGUGAGCUUAAAGAGGCGCACUGUGCGUCGUUGUAGCUUUUGCUUUUUGUUGGUUGCAUUUUUGGGCCCUCAAGCUAAGCUAAGCUAGCUGUUGAACCAAAGCUAAUCUCGAGCUUUUGCUCCCCGCAUGUCCUGUUCCCGGCUGGCACUAAUCAUGGCGCUAAUGACCGCUGGCCGGCCGGCCGGGCAGGGCACAGCGAUUGCUGCUGCCGUCUACUUUUUGCUCCGUCGUCAUCGCCUUCCCAUCACACCCAAAGAUUAGCUAGGACUACCAGCAGGGUUUGUCUUGAUCUGCUGCUGCUGACAGUGGGUUUGGUUUCUCCUUGCUGCGUUCGUGUCGCUGCUCGGACGACCCAUACCUGUCGUUCUUGUCUGCACUGCGGAAUCUCUGCGAAAAAACAUAAAGAGAGAUUUACAGUUCUAGUUUUUUUUUUAUGUAUAGCUGCUCUGCCGUCUACAGGUGAAGCGUCCGUGCCUCUGCCUCGGCUGCAGGCUGCCGUUUGUAAUUUCUAUGCCAACUUGCGUUCCAUGCUUUCGUCGGUAGCAAUACUUUAUCACCGUGCGUGUAUGGACAGCAAAGCUAGGUUACAAAUGGAUGCGAUCAGGAGAUUAGCUUUGGAGUUUUAAUCAAUUAUUAGUCCCUCGUCACUCAGUGGGUCAGUCAGUCAGUCAGUCAGUGAGAGGCAGUCACCAACCCAGAUGCGAACGGUGUAGGCUUUGACCGAGCCAUGCUGGCAGCGACAAGCGAACAGCUCCAAGUUUACCAUUAGUUUAUUACUAGCGCCAGUACGUAGCCACGAAGGGUGCUUGCGUACAAGGCAAAUGUUUAGUUCCUCGAAACUCGCCACUUUGAUACUAUGCAAAAAGAAGAUUCCCCAUCACAUCAAACUUGCGGUACAUGCAUGGAGUAGUAGACGAAAUCAAAAACUAAUUGCACAGUUUUGUUGUACUUUGCGAGACGAAUUUUUUGAGCCUAAUUAGUCAAUAUUUGGAUAAUAAUUCACAAAUACAAACGAAACACUACAAUGUGCUACAGUGCUGUAACAGUAAUUUUGCACCUCCAAAUUUUAGGCAACUAAACAAGACCAAGUUUAUUUUGAAACCUGUUGACGCAAAUUCAGGUUUGUGCCAAUUUUGACCAUCAAUAAAAAGCUGUUGCCCUUGCCAGGGCCACCGACUUUUAAUUCUGAUGCUCGAACCAUGGCUCUUGUAUCCGGAAAAUGCGUACCAGUAACGACAUGCGUGCUCGCUCAUUCCUGCACAACAACAAUACCAGCAGUGUACUAGGGGAAAAAAAUGGAUUGACCUGUGAUCAUUGUAGAAAAAGAUAUACGUAUUUGGUGUGAGAUGGAUGGCAAGUCAACGAGCGCGGGGCCAACAUUUAGCUGGGCUGUAGUCCACUGCACACAUCUAAUCACCAUACAAAGCCCCAACUGCCGAGACGUGCAGGUGGUGAUCCAACAAGAGUAUGCAUUGUUUUGUUUGCUCCAUACAUUUGUGUCAACUGGUCAGACCAACUAACUAAUAAGCUGGUUGCUGUUGUUGCACAACACAACCUGAGAAUGCAUGGCAACAGAGGCCGGUCUUUCCCGGCCGGCGUAUGCGUGCAUUGCAUCUUACCAUGUUCUGCUCAGAUAUGAUGGCGAUCAAAAGGAAGGAAGGAAGAGAGUUCAAAUGCAUACAUGGAAAAAAAGGAAAAUAGGCGAUUAACAAGAAAAUGGUUACGGUGUGUCUUAGUCGCGUCGAACAAGGAAAAAAAACAAGAUCCACCUAGGAGGAAUUAGGCGGUGAAUUUUCCAUUAAGUAGAAGAAAAUAUACAUCUAAAUUCGAGCUAGAAGGAAUUUAAAUCUAGAUGGUUAGAUGCACAACCACACCUUCCACUCUAAAUCCUUAAUCGGUUGAGCUAGGCUCGAUGGAGGCAGGGCUAUGGGCCCCUUCCCCCACCCCAAACCCGGUGAAAAAUGAUGACCCUACCUGCAUGGUACACGUGCUUAGAGUCAACAUAAAAAGCCAUCUAUCCACAUAUGCACGUGACAUCCAUGAUCCAACAAACAAACUAUUGUUUAGGGGCACCAUUCAGAUCGAGCAGCACAGAGACGAUGGUGGUACAUGCACGGUUCGUCUAGCUCUGCCUGCAGGUUGCAGUUGGGGAAACGCAGCGCCGGACAAUAUGCACAUUUUGGAAAUCGGAGCAUCCGACGCGCGCUCUCGGCUGGAAUGUGUCAUGCAUACAUAAACAGGCAUAGAUGUUAUCAGUGUCUAUUUGUUUUGCCUUGUCAAUGUAUAUAGCUUUUUAGAUAGAAAUGAAUCCCAUUAAACCAUAUAUGUAUUGGCUUCGUGCUAAAAUUCAGGUGCUGAUUUUGCCCAAAAAAAAAAUCAUUGCACAGGAAGGAAUAGAUUGUAAUAGAGUCGGCCAGUAGUUUGAUUUAGAAGAAAAUUAAAUCGGAUAAUGAUUCAGAACGAAGGGAGUAAUCCAUACAUCUUAAUCUAUAUUUUUACACUGGGGGUAGAUUCCAGUUUACAAGAGUGAAUUAAGGGCUGCAAGAGGGCGUCCUUUGUCGGUGGGAAGAGGGUGACGGAUCGGCUGCCGCUGGCAUCUGAAACCAAAUUACCUGAACCACACAGAACAUUCGAUCAACUACUAAUAUGGGAUUUUUUUGUUCCAUCAGCAAGCUAGCCAGUUUGGACAGAGUGGCAAGAAACGGUCCUCCUGUCAUGUUCAUCGUAUCUGUAUCUGCCGGCUGCAGGACUAAAUUACUCCGGAUUAAUGUACAAGUAGCGCGACUAACAUAAUAAAUCUGCACAAAUCUGAUGGUGAUGGGGCGACGAGAAUCAAUAGUUUUUUUUCACAGAGAUAGAUAGAUGAUUCAUCAUAACUUUAUGCACGCAACGAAUAUAUCCAGGAUGAAUGCAGUGUGCUUGCUGAGUAGACGUACUAUAUUAUUAGCGACUCGGAUCUUGUUUUCAGUAACAACAAUGCACGUCUGCACUAAUCGAACAACACGACCGAUGCUAUAUACCACCAUCUUGUGUUAGCUCGAGCUAAUCGUUUAGCAUUCGUUUGUCUGCCUGCCUGCUUAUAAUUGAAUACUCCCUCUAUCCCAAAAUAAAUGUUCGUUUAACAUUUAAAUUUUGUUCCACAAAAAAUGUUCUUUUUACCUCCUAGUGAAUCACAUCCAAUUAAAGCAAUACUCACAUCAAAAAAAAAGUGCAUGGAAAAUUGCAUUGAGCCAAUCAAAUGUUCAGAGAAUCAGAGUAGUACUAGCUAGCUUUGGGGUGAAAGAAAACUUUGCUUCGCUUUGCUGGCCGGGGAAGCAUGGAGGUGAGGUGACAAUGUCCAGGACAUGAUCCAGGUUACCUGGGAAAAGCGUUUCUCGCGCUUGCUUCGGUUCCAAGAACAUUGUCUCGUGUUCCUCGUUCUAGUCCCAUCCCAAUCGCUCUCACUGUCACGUGAAUCCAGGAGAGCAUGCAUUCGCAGCCAGCAACUGGGCCACAAAACUUUUUUUUAGAUGCGCAGAACAUUAUUUUUACUGAACGGUGGCUGUACUGGAUGGCCCAUCUCCAAAGGAGCAUGGCUACCCGUAAAAAAAAAAAAAGGUGCAUGGCCUGCUGACUCCUAAUGUGUCUGACUGAAUCAGUCCGCCGCACAGAGAAAUGCAGUAGAGUAAACUUGCAGCCCGUGCAAGGAGCCCGCGCCAUCGGCCCUCUCAUCUGAUGUGGGCUUCUUUUGUUUGUUUGGGCCCUAUGGAAUGGGCCAGGAUUUUUGUCUUGCAGUUCCACAAGCCUUUUCUUUUUGUGCCGAUCUCUCUCUGCAGCCCGGUAAUCUUUACCUAAUAUAAAAGUACGGUAAGUGUUUGUUAACUGUCAUUAUAAUGUUUUAAAAAAACUACUAAACUUUGGUACGUCGCCCUCCUCUGGCACUGCAUUGUGGGUCUAGACAUGCAACCCCGCUGACAGACGAACCCGAUUCCGCGUCAGAUGAACAAAUCAUUCCAAGUCCUACUUGUACCGCAACCCACACAAAAUCAUCGAACCAAAGUUCAAUUGGAACUCGAACAGAAUAGAAAACAAGAAGAUGGCCUCGAUUGGAAAAGUCAAACACGAUGUCUCUUCCCCACCUCUGUCAUCCGAUAGCUUCAUGAGAGGUCGCGCUGGAGCAGCGGUAGUAUUGAUAGCUUGCAGGAGACUUGCAUCAGCGGCCUUGCCCUCACCAGCAGGGGCACAGGAGGUGGCGGACGAACUGGUUAGCAUCCACCAACUGGGCCAUGUUCCCCGGAUCUGAAGGCCAGGCGGGCCAGCUUCUUUCCCAACGCACCUCCAUCGGCACUGGCAUAGUGAACCACUCCUACACCGCAGAUGAACGCAACUGGUGGGGUCUCCUCCUGUGGGUCUACAACGUCCGCAACAAAACCCAGCCACUGAACUGAUCGACACGCUGAUGUACUCCACUGGCUCGCUCGUCGACUAUAAUAAUGUCACACUGCUCUUCAAGUCCCAGCGCUGCGCGGACCUGUUAGAAUGCAUUAAAAAAAUUUAUGAUGAUUUUAAGAUGUAUCAGAUACUGUGAUUAGAACUGGGCUUUUAUUGUUGGCACACAAAAAGGGCAUUUGACUUGAGGAGGGUCUCGAUCUUGCGUGAAUUUGCUCGAGUUGGAUGGCAUGAUGGUCUCCAUGGUUCUCAUUCAUGUCGGCUACGCCAUCAAGGAAGCCAUUCCGCCACAACCGGCGUCAACCUACUGCUAUGUCAAUGCCAGCCAAGUCGAUCUAGGGAUGUUGUCGUGCAUCUUCUCCAUCGAUCUUUGUAGCUUUUCGCGGCCUAGCCGAUGAUGGGUGGGUUGAUGAGUGUUGCCGGUGCCAUGGCUCACCCGCGUGGAGGAGGUCUGGCAGCCCGCCGAGUCGCUUCCUCAUUCGACGUCCCUUCCUCCGGUGAGGUGGGCGGUGCUCCAUACCAGCGUAGUAGUAUUUUGACAGAGAGUAGAUAGUUGGGUUGGUAAAUAGUAGGACACUGGUGAAUAAAGGUGGAGCUUGGCCCUGCCGUGCUGGCCCAGCCCGGCCUUCUCGUGCCAUGGGCCGCUUUGGGCCUAGAUUGUCCGGUAGGGGAGCUUGACCAUACAUGGUAUGAAUAUGGAACUAAAGCCUUUGCCUAGACACAACCACGAACGACCCAACUUCGUGCAGUGCUAGCCCAAAGUAACAUGGCUCGUACAUUGUUGAAUCAUGUGUAAGAAAAUGUUGAAGGAUAUCGACAGUGGGAGAUUUGUGGGGUGUGAAAGGACCGUGACAUUCUAGGAGGGGAUGGGUGAAUUAGAUGUUCUAAGAUUCCAAGCACAUAUAAAAAUCUAUUCCAAUUUCUAUCUAGAUGUGCACUAGAUUUUUUUUCCAUGUGUUGCUAUCUCUGUUGCAAAAGUAUUUUGCAUCCUAGGUUCCAAUCCUACAAACUACAUAUAGCAAUUCUAGAAAAGGUAAACAUGGAAUGCAAAGUGCAAUGAGUAAUACGGAAGGUAAAUAGGGUAGAGAAUGCAAACUCCUGGCUCGAUGAAUUUUUACUGAGAUAUCGGAAAGCUCUCGUUUCCCCUAGUCCUCAUUGGAGCCCCCUCGCGAGGGAAUGCUCGCGCAAGGGCCAAGCUCCUGGACAUGUAACUCCGCAGAUAGCCGAUGGUCCUUCCCCACAUGCAAGUGGAUCUUUGGCUCUCCCGUAUUCUCCUCGCCGUCUUCACUAGGUUGCAACAACAAGGGCACAGUGAGACCGAGUGGCCGAAGGUGCCCAACAGUAGAACCGACCGCUAGCCAACCCCGCAAGAUUUAGAUGGACCCCAGGCACACAGGCAUCAACCUCCAAGCCAGGGCUAGCACACCACUGUAGGCGGCGUUACCAUUGGCUAGCACUAAAAGCUGCUACCACCAUGAGCGUCAACAUGUUUCGGAUUUGACGAAGAGCACCGUGAGUCGGGUCACCAUAGGAUGAUCCCCAACUACACCCUAGCCCCCAAUCCCGUCCUGGAUCCCGUGUGCAGAAAAAGUGUGGGAAAACAUGUUUAUUAUGGGACACAAUUAAGUUUUUUUUGAGAAUUUCCUUAAAUGGUCUAAAAAGUGGAAAUUUGGUUUAAGAAAUUUAAUAGUAGUUUGCUAUUAAAAGUGUAACUUAUUCACUCUAAGGAAAAAAACGUUAGGAAUAGCGGGCCUUUUAUGCUUAUACAGCUACACCCAACCAUCUCUCUCUCAUCCUUCCCCCUCCCCCCUUUCUCUCUCCUCAUGCAUCAAGGUCUCUCCAAAUCCGCACCGGUCCCUACUUCCGUUUCUUGUACUAAGACCUCCACACCCACUUUUAAGCGGUAGUGUCAAAGGCCUAGAUCUCUUUGAGAUCCACCAAUAUAGCCUUGGUGGUGUUCAUUUCCAAACUUCUGCUGCUGUAGGUACAUCUCCAACUGCAACUAUAUGCUAUGCCUAGCCUAUGCUGACCUCCUCCACAUGGUAGAUCUAGCUAUAGAGUGAAGCUAGUUGGUGGAUUGGUAGAUGGGGUGCUCAAAUCAAGGGCUCCUCUUCUCCUCCUUGGAUAUUUCUUGUCACCGCACCAUUCUUCUCUGGUGAUUUUAAUGGAUCCAUGCCACACAUAGAUGAGUUGUAGGCUCAGUUAAACCCAAUCCAUGUGAAACAUGUUGAGUGUGUAACACAGUAUCACAUCACCAAUUUUGCGUACGAAACAAUGCAAUGUUGUUGAUUGUGUUUCCACUUCAGGCCGCGCAUUAGUUCUUCCUGGUCAACAUGAAAUUUGUGGAAACACAAUCAAAUUGGCACAAUGCUAAUUGAUAUUUUCAAAAUUUAGAUAUAAUAUACAGCAAUGGUUCAGCUUAAUUAGAAUAGGAGAAAAUUUAUUUCCAAUCAAUAUAGUUCAAUACUACUACAGCACAUAGACAUAAUUUAUGUCUGUGUUUAAUUAGCAUUAAAUACACGACUCACAUGAAAUGCUUAUAUAAGGCAGGAUACGGUUAACCAUAGAUCAAAAGAGCUUUAACAUAAGCAUUGUACUAAACUGCAACAUGUCAUGUUAGGCUAGUCCCAGUGCAAGGUUUCAUUGCACUGUUUCCAAGGAUACCACAUCAUCCCAUGAGGUGUAUUCUCAUGAAUGAAACGGGGAGUCCCAGUGCACAAUUUCAUUUCACGAUUUCAUAGGAUGCCCAUAACAUUUAAUUGUGAGGCAUGUGAUUGGAUAUGGUUAGAUGAAAUGAAACUCUAUAGCCCCCAAUGCAAGUUUCAAUAGGUUUCAUAGUCUUGGAAACAGUGUAUACACAGUUUCAUCCUGAUGAAACUCCUUCCCUCUCUCACUUCAUAACUACCAUGCCAUGUCAUCACAUAUGCUAAUGUGUCACCGUAUUUAAUGUGCAUGAAACCUCUAUGAAACCCCCACUGGGAUUAGCCUUAGGCAACAUUAUAUACACGCUAUAUUAAUACUUGGCAUGCAAGAAGCAUAAAGGAACAUCCACGCAGAACUUAAUUGUACAAUUACCUAACAGCUACUGACAAAUGGGCCCCCACCUUGUUGAGGAAACACAAGGACUUCAGUGUCAGUGACAUGACAUUGGAAAACAAAAGUGACAUAGUAUUAUACUUUUUUGAAAAGACUCUUUAAUAUAUUGAAUCACUAGAAAAUGACCCCACUUGCUCCAUUUCUCCUAUAUAUAGGACGCUUCUCAAGCUCCUUCUCAUCAAAACACAACGCCUCCCAAAUAAAAUAUCAUUCAAUCCCCCAUAGCUUAAUUUGUAGUAGUAGUUCCUUUAAAUUCUCCAUCUGAGAAUGCCUAGGAGGCCAAGGAGAACCAGUAUCAACUAUCUUAAGAGCGAUAGUGAGAGUACCGUUACAUUCCACAAGCAGCGUAAUGGACUAUUCAAAACCGCAGCUGAACCAUCCAUCCUCACUGGCGCAAAAAUUGCUGUUGCACUAGAGUGUGAAAGUGGAAAAGUGUUCGCUUUCGGCACUCCAUCUGCAGAUCCCAUUAUUGAUUCUUUCCUUUCAGGGAAUACACCGGAAGAUCCAAUCCCUAAUGAUGAGGCACAAAAGGCCAAAAUCAUUUCUCUACAAAAUGAGCUAAUCCAGCUAAAGAACCUGAAGGAUGUGCAGGAUAGGAGGAUGUGGGAGUCUAUGGCACGUUCCAAGGAGAUUCAAGAAAGCUCAAAGGUGGCUAAGCUUAUCUAUGGAAAUAUAGAUGACCUUAGUGUCGAGAAGCUCAAUGAGCUGUUACGCGGGCUCUCACGUGUUUAUCAAGAAAUCCAAGAUCAUCUACCUCAGUGAUAUAUAUUUGAUGCAGUAAUUUCAAUUGUCCUGUGGAUGAUCAAAGAAGAUUUUGUUACUAGCUGCUUGUCGUUUGAAAAAAAGGUGGUCUGGACCAUCAGUAGUCUAUGUCUAGUGUGUUUAUUAGCGUCAUCUGCAUGUAUGGAUAUAUCGAGGACCGAGAGCUCUUGAAGAUUAUUUCAUGGCUCUGGUCCUUUCAUCCAUGAAGUGCUUUGUAUCUUUCAUAUAUUAUUGAAGAAAUGCAAUCGUUUGAUUGAAAGUGAAAGCUGCUGCCUACAUCAUGAUGAAAGAAUGGGUUCAGGGACAUAUUUCUCAUGGAUUCAAACGGUAGCUGCAGAAACAUCCAUCACAGAAAAUCAAUUGACACUACAAAAUAUGCAUGACUUUGCGUGAGCAGUAUCCUUAUCUAUAUAACAUAGCUCGACACAAACAACAUACUAUAGCAGAAGUUUUAAGCUCCUCACCCAUCAAUAUCUCGUGGCGUAGGGAUCUCAUAGGCAAUAAGUUAGCAGCAUGGAAUAAUCUAUAUCCAUAUAUUGCUAAUAUAGUGCUGAGCCAAGAGCAAGGUGAAUUUCACUGGAACAUACACCCUAUUGGACAAUUAUCAGUGAAAUCUUACUAUCUAGCCAUGAUACAUGAAGAUGUCCCCAACCUGAACAAACUUUUAUGAAAAAUAAAAGCCCCCCCUAAAGGUUAGGAUUUUUUUGUGGUACUUAGGAAGGGGGUUGGUGUUGACAAAAGACAACUUAGCUAAGCGUAAUUGGCAAGGCAACAAGAAGUGUUGCUUCUGUGCCAAUGAUGAAACGAUUCAGCAUUUGUUUUUUGAUUGUCAUUUUGCACGCACAAUAUGGUCCAUCACACAUGCAGCUUCAGGUCUUCCGCAGCCUCAUAGCAUAUCACAUAUGUUUGGGAAUUGGUUAUGAGGUAUAAGCAAAGAAAUGAAACCACUAGUCCUGCUAGGAGCGGCUGCCACUUGUUGGUCGUUAUGGCUUUGCAGCAAUGAUUGUGUCUUUGAAAGAAAACUUAAUCCUUCUCCUUUGCAGGUUAUCUUCUCAGUUAUCCAUUGGCUUCAUUCGUGGAUUAUGCUACAAAAACCAGCUUCACAGGGCUUCCUUGCAGUGGCAUCGCAGCACUUGGCUCAGGUGGCCAAGGAGUUUUUUACCCAGGCACAUGGAUGGCGGUCUAGUCUACGGAUUGACAGCCAUUAGCUCCCUGAUUAUGCAUUUUUUCUUUCUUUCUUUUGGCUGUGUGCAUCCUGGUAAUGUAGAAGCCGGGAAAAUAGUUCAAGGAAUUUGUUCGAUGUAAAAACCUUGAAUUUAACAAAAUUUGCCUUAUCGAAAGGAAAAAAACAAAUAUGCAUGACUUGGUACCUGAAGUGUUGUCUCAAGCUGGUCGCAUCUUUGUAUCUAUGAUUCCCACUUUGUUUUGUGCAAUAUGCAGAAGACAAAAUAUUUUUCGUAGACUGAUCAGGGGAAUAGAAAGAUCAUCACAAUACCAUGCAUCCAGUAGACUAGAAUCAGAAAAAUAGCACGAACUCUACCUAGCUAAAAAAUAUUUUGCACACGGAUCCAUGGGUUUAAGAAGAUGGCCUGAUCCGGUCUAUCUUGGAGAGAUAUUUCCAGUGUUUGCUUCUGGAACAAACAAAUGCCAUCUUCCUUUGGAAGGCAAUUUGUGGGUUAGAUGGUCUACGUAGAAAUUACGCUAGGUGAAUGACUGUUUGACGGUAAUGCCUGUGUGGGCGUCCAACAAUGCCGUCAGAAUAUCACCUCGCAGGCUCUGGAUGGACGCAUGCAUGGCUCUCCUCGACAUCCUUCUUACUUUACAUUACUGAUCUCCUCCCCCCCCCCCCCCCCCCCCCCCUCCUCUCCUCUCUCUCUCCCUCUCCCUCUCCCUCUCUCUCUCUCCCUCUCCCUCUCUCCCCACUGAUGGUGAGCGCCUCUCAGAUGCACGACAAGCAGAGGCUCGCUUUGAUGAUGCCAUGUGUGGCGACCAAGGGCACCCAAGAGGCCGUCCUCGAUGCAUACCGCAGCAUGAGCUACGCAUAAUUGACCAGAUCGCCGAUCUGAAGCUGCUCGAGACCAAAUACUUGACCAAGGGCGGCCUAGAGGCUGUUCUCGGGUCACUCUCCAUGUCCGCCGGGAUCUUGAGGAUGCCUACGCAACGCAAAGGCAACCUAGGCGAUGUGGCUCUUAGAGGUUCUGGUUGUGCAAGGUGCACGAGACUACUCCUCUUAUCCUCGGCCUCUGUCGCACAUAACAUGGGUGUGCAGGCAAGAUAGAAAUUGAUAGAUGACUGGUGUGCUAUGAUUCUUUGAUUAGCUCUUCCUCAAUGUUUUCAGCUGGUACCAUACAAGGAGGAUCCCAGACGAGAUAUUGUGACUUCUCUUUUAUGUUCCAAUCUGGUUUUUCUGAUGUAGCAAGAUCUAUCCCCCCCCUCCCCCCCCUUCAGUUUCAGUCUACCGGUUGUUGCAACAGCUAUUUUCUGGUGUUGCUAUCUUUGUUUUUGAAUAAAUAGAGAUAUUGCAUUAUUCUCAUCCUCCUUUGCAAGAAUUUGUUUUAAUUGUUGUGUUAGUCUUUUUCCAUGUCGCAUAAUGUGUUCUAGGAUAUAUGUUUCAGUAGCUGAUUUGCAAAGUUCUGGUUCUUAUAGAAAAAGGAGAGAGAUUGCAUGAAACAUCUACAUUUGUUGCAGUGGGUAUUUGAUUUUCUUAGGAUCUCCUGAGAUCAGAUGACACGGAGCUUUUAUUUUCAUCUAUCAUAUAUUUUGGACGAUGUUGAAAAAGGUAAACGGCAAUGUUGCAGUUUGAAUUUUGCAUGUUGCGACAGACCGCCCCGUAGGAAAUUUUGGUGCUAGCAGCACUGAUUGUUUACACCACACUCCUGGUAUAUCACUGUUUUGUUAUAUUCCACCAUCACUUCUAAAUUUAAUACCAAAAAUUCUACAUAAUGAUUGAUGCUUUCAGUAGAUUCAGGAAUGGCCUUCAGCCGAUUGAGUUUUACGUUCACCAUUUCCAUCAUUUAAGGCAGGCCUUUAGUUUAUUUUUUGGAGCAUCAUCUUGCAUUGAGAUGGUAAUAAAAUUUGAAAAUAUUUUUCCAUAUUUGAAAAGGAUUGCCCCUGAGGGGAAGUUUCAAUGACAUUUCAAUUAUAACAGCAAAAUUUGUAUUCAACACUAUUUUGCUGGAUCACAUUGCUCGUUAAUACUCCCUAGGGUUAGGAUACUCUCACAUAGCAAGACAAGGAACAUGUUUAUCCUGUAGGUAGAACUUUUACUAUAUUAUCGUGCACUAAACCAAGAGUUUGUUCGAUUGCAUGGCAUUAAUAACUACACAAAUAUACACACAAAAAUAUAGCAAAGAAACACCUUUUGGUCAAAACCCGGUUAUCCUGUACUGGUAGUAGAAUGCAUAGGCAUCAUACGUAGCUAUCUUUGAUUAGCAUUAAAUAGUCGACUUACAAUGAACAUAUGUAUAUUGGCAGGAUGAUUUCAAGCGGUUACCAAAGGAUUUUUUAAUUAAUGCCUGCCUAAAGUGUAAUAUGACAUUUUAAGCCGAAAUAAAUGCGCAGUUUUCGUUUUGAAAAUAAAUAAUAUUUAAAUAAUGUAUAAAAAUAGAUGAGGAAGUGAUAUCUAUCUAAACUUAAUUUAUACUUUCCUUAUUGUUACUGACAAAUGGGUCUCACCUUAUCCAUGCAAAACAAGGACCCCUUCUGUCGGUGAUAUUCCUAAGUGACGUUUGGUAAUAUACCUUUUCUUACAAAAACAUUUUCAUAUACACUAGAAUUUUUGGAAAACUGUCUCACUGACAGCCCUUUUUCAUCUAUAUAUAGGACUCUUCCUCGGAUCAUUCACAUCAGAACACAUUUCCUCUCAAAAACAACGAAAUCAUUUCUUACUCACACACCAAUAGUAGUAGCUUUGAAUUCUCCACAUUAGAAUGACUAGGCCAAGGAGAUCCGGAAUUAGCUACAUCCAAAAUAAUAAUAGCCGUAGCAUCACAUUCUUCAAGCGGCGUGCCGGGCUUUACAAAACCGCCGCUGACCUAUCCACCCUCACUGGCGCGCGAGUUGCUAUUGCGCUAGAGUCCGAGAGCGGAAAGAUGUCCUCUUUCGGCACCCCAUCGGCUGGCCCUAUUAUUGAUUCUUUCCUCUCAGGGAAGGCACCAAUGGAUCCAUUCGUCAACAAGGAGCAAAAGUCCGAAAUCACCAUUUUGCAGAACGAGGUAUUCAAGGUGGAGAAAGAGAAGUUCAUGGAGGACAAGAGGACCAAGGAGACUAUUGCACGAGCCAAGGAGGUCCAAGAAACCUUAGGGAAGGCUAAGCUUGCCUAUGGCAAGAUAGAAGAUCUUAGUGUUGAGGAGCUCAAUGAGCUUGUGCAUGACCUCUCACAGAUUGAGCAGGAGAUUGAUGAUCGACUCAUCCGCCCACAACAACCUAGCUAUCAGCUGGAGGUUGGUGGGUCAAGAGAUCCAUUCCUCGGGCGGCCGUCCUCUUCGUCAUCACCUUCUUCACAGAUCCAGAUGCCACCAAGACGUUUGCCGUGGACUCCCAUACAACCAUCCUUGCAGCUUCCAAAAUCAUCAUGGUCUCUUCCACAAUCAUCAAGGUCGCGGUCCUCUCUUCUCAAUCCUUCCAUGCUACCAUCAGCACAAGCACAGCCAAUAUCAAUGCCACUGUUCCAACAUAGUCAGAUGCCACAGCAUGCUUCGGCGGUGCAACCACAGGCACAAAUGACGCUAUCGUCUACUGAAACCUAUCCACACAACUACAAUACCCUGGAGAUGCACAUCAACGGUAACAUCUCGCUACCAUUCAUACAAUCUUCUUUGAUGCCUGCGCUACCACCACCACCUUCGCCAUCCACGCAGAUUACAUUCUAUAAUGAAUUUCCUCCUCCAUCAUCAUCGCAACAACCACCAACUCCAUUGCCUAUUGAGGCCGAGCAUUACAUGGUGGAGCAUCCUGAAAACCAUUCAAGCACUCAAGACUUUACUGCUGGUCACCCAUUUGCCAAUCACCAGUGGCCUUCCCCUAUUCCUUCUAACGAGCCAUACUAUGAUAUUAGCCUGUAUGGGCUGAAUCUUUACUUGGGAGACCAUGGUGAUUAUGGAGGCCUUGUUACUGUUGAGCGUGACAUGGCUGGUCCUUCUGGUCUGCAUCAACAAACUUAUGAUUGUCCCUACAGGAACUUCUUAGGGUCUUCUUCUUCAGGAGAAAGUCAUGGGGAUUACGGUCCAGGAAAUAAUGUUGGUGAUAUGGCCCACCUCGGUGAUAGUUGAUGCCCGAGUUUCAAUUGUUCAUGUGGUUGAUUUGAUAAUAAGUUUGAGUUAUCUACUUGCUUGUCAUCAAGAAAAACCACCAAUCUAAGUCUCUAGCUAGUCUUUUUAGUGAGUCAAGCCUGUGCGUGUAUAUCCGGGGAUGAACUCUUGAAUCAGUUUACUUCGUGAGUCUGAUCCUUGAAUCCAUGCAAUGCCUUGUAUCUCUCAUAUUGUUGAAUGUAAUCCUUUGGUUGAAAAUGAUACUAGUUGCUGCUUACAUGAUGAGAAUGGACGACGGUGUGGGGAUUUUAUACUCAUUAGGUGUUUUUUUCUGCGUUUAGGCCUGUAGUAGCGCAUUAUUGUGAUUUUGUUGUCGUAAGCCCUAGUCCUCUUCAUAAGAGAAGUGGUGCAUAUAUAUACCAAACACAUUUUUACUAAUCGUUUACAAAUCAUUACCUGGCCUCUCCUUAUCUGUUCAUAAGCAGUCCAUAACAAAUGUGCCCAUACGUAUACGAUAUACCAUCGCAGUUUUCUUUAUGCAUGCAGAACACUAGGUUGGUCCACAAGAAAUACAUCCAUUGUAUGAAAUCCUUCUAGGUAUGACUGACUUGAUCUUUGAAUCAGUUAUUUUCUUUUGCGAUUUCUUGGGUCAGUUAGACAGUUACUUAUCUCACAAAUAGCAUCUUGCUAUCUACAGUAUUUAAAAGGAUUCAGUUACUGACAAAGAGAAUCUUUUUUUAGCAUCGGUCAAAGCAUAGACCAUGCAUGACUGGACGCCUUGGACUAGAGAGGGAGAGAUAGAGAGACAGAGCUCAACUUUUGUUUUUCUAAGUUUCUGAACCGAGCUCGCGUGAUCUAUCUGUGAAUUUGCUUUGGAGCAUGAGAGAACAAAACUGGACCAAUCUGCAACAUGUUUUAUUUUUUAAGUGGAUGCAACAUCUUUUAUUUGAUCAGUGGAACACGAGAGUUUCAAGUUCAUGAAAGGACCACUAUGUUCAGGCCCUUGUCUUGCAAUUUGGUCGCCCGUGAUAAAAUGGAAAGACCAAAAUUGACAGUAGCCAUGUGAUAUUUGGCCAAGGAAGAAAUUUUUCUCCCAAAAACAUAUGAAAAGAAGAUGAAGUAGCAGAAAUCUUAGUCUCCCGCUUGAGAUCUUUUCUCUUUGGAGUUUACUGCUAUAAAUAAUUGAGUUAUAAAUAUAUACCCCUUAUUGAGUUUAAUUGCUGCAGUACGAGUUUAUUUUAACAUGGUCUAUAAGAAAAUAUGAUAUUAAAAAUAGAGAAGGUUGCUUGCCAUGUAAACAUUACACCGUGAGCCGCCGAUUCCUUUAUGUGUUGUAAUAAAAUUAAAAAGUUUUGCUGAUGGAGCCCUAAAACAACUUAUAUUUACGAUGUUGUAAAAUAUAAUGAUGUAGCUGUUAGAUGUCCUUUAACUGCUCCUUUUCCCAUUGCUCCUAUUUCUUAUCCGUUUGUGUCGAUGGCUGCCCCUUCAUGUCUCCGAUGCAUAUCCCACUACUAGAAAAAUCACCUCUAGUACCGCUUCCCAACCCCCCUCUAGUACCGGUUGUGCAACUGCACAACCGGUACUAGCCAUCCGGUACUAGAGGGGGGUCCCCCUCUAGUACCGGUUGAAAUAACUAGUACUAGAGGGUGUUAAAAAAUUAAAAAAAGAAAGAAAAUCCCCCCACCCCCGCCGCCCCGCCAGCGGCCCCCGCCAGCCCCUCCACCCCUGCCGGCCCCUGCCAGCCCCUCCUCCCCUGCCGCCCCUCCUCCCCUACCCCCUCCACCCCCGCCGUGCCCCUCCUCCGCCACCAGCAUCCCUCCUCCGCCACCACCACCGCCUCUCCUCCUUCGCCGCCCCGCUCCGCCCACCGUCGGCCGUCGCCGCCACCGCUCACCUCGCCCCGCCGCUGCUCCUCACUGCCGGUGAGGGGUUCACGGAGGGGGGGGGGAGGGGAGGCAGUGGAAGGAGAAGGAAGAAGAAGAUAGAGGAGAGAAGCAGUGGAGGAGAAGAAGUGGAGAAGAAGUGAAGCAGUGGAGGAGAGAAGCAGUGGAAGGAAGAAGGUGAUAAGGCACGGACGGAGAAGGAGAUAAGGCAAGGGUGGAGUAAAAAAAAUCUAAGGCAUGGGCGGAGCGUGGAAAAAAUAGGAGGAGAUGGGUGCGUGGGAAAAAAAUAGGGAGCCCCUCUAGUACCGGAUGGGGAAUCCUUUAUUACCGGGUGGAAGCUCCAACCGGUACUAGAGGGUGACCUCUAGUACCGGAUGGAGCCCCCAUCCGGUAUUAGAGGGCCUCCGGGGAAUUCCAAAUUUGGAACCGGUACUAAUGCUAACAUUAGUACCGGGUCCAAAUGUGACCAGUACUAAUGUUAGGAAUGAGAGGUCAUAUUUCUAGUAGUGUUCUUCCACUAGGUGCAGCCUGCUUAUAGCACAAGGCCGACGUGGUCGUGAGGAUCAAGGCAACAGAUCAGUUGAUAGGACGCGUGGUGCUGGUGACAACCAAGGUGGAGAAUAUGCACCGCCAACUUGUGGUACCUUAUGCAUGCAGCUCGCAGACAUUUUGUAGCAGGUGCGGAGGAAGGGAAAAUGUCGGUCGUGCGGGUGGAGAUGAAAUUUGCCUGUUUGAUUAAUUAAUUAAUGUCUUACGGGAGCGCUUUCAUUAGGACAUUCUCAGUAGGGGUUUCAUUCUCAUUAAAUGAGGUGACACAUAAGCAAUUGUGAUGACAUUGCAUGGUAUUUAUGAGGAGCGAGAAGAAAUGAGUUUCAUGUGGACGAAACUAUGUGUACACUGUUACCAAGACUUUGAAACACGUUGAAACUACCAGUGAGGGUUAUAGAGUUUCAUCUCAACUGAUUUUGUCCAAUCAAAUGCAUCCCAAUUAAAGUCUAUGAGUUACCUAUGAAACUGUAACAUGAAACUGUGCAUUGGAGGUAUAAUUUCAUUCAUCAACAAAAUUUAGUUUAGAUGACAUGGCAGUGUUGGAAACUAUCCCACGAAAUCCUCCACUGGUAAUGGCCUUAAGCUUCCGGGAGCUGGUGUCUCUCUUGAGAGAACUCCCUUGAGAUUAGUGUCUCCACGCCAAGCGCCAAGCGCAUCAAUAAGCACCAGGCACAUGACCCCCAACAAAUAGUUCAAGGUCGUCGGCAUUGUUAAUAUUUCAGUAAAUUGAUUGUGAUGUUGUGCUUAGUGUUUCUUGAUGUUGCAAUAUGUGUUUUUGGGGGGAUGGUGUCCUGUACAUACAUGAUCUUGAUAUGGGUUUGUGAUGUAGCAAAAAUAAAAUCGAGCUGUUGCACAUAUUAUCCUUUGAUGUUUAGUGGGUUGAUUUGGGUAUUUCAUCUAUCUAUUUUUUAUGUUGCAGCAAUAGAUUGUUGAUGUUGUGCUUAUUGCUUUUAAGAUGUUGCAAUUGAUUUGAGAUGUUAGAUCUACUUGUUUUCCCGCUGCAAUAAUGGAUUACUGAUAUUGCAUCUCAUAAUUUUAGGCGCCGCAAAAUUUUUCAUCCAUUUCAGUUUGAUAUUGCCUUUCUGGGAAGCUGAUCUUGCAUACCUGAAUUGUGAUGUGUGACCUUUCUGGGAGAGAGAGAGACCAUUAGCCCAUAAUCCAUGGUUUAGUUUGCCAAAACUAGCUGCUAGCUUUCGGUGUUAUAGCUUUCCACACAAUUCACAAUCACAAUCCAUACAUUUUCACGGUCCAAAGCUGAAACAAGUAAGGCCUAAGGCCAAUUUCCGAACCAUAUAGCUGCGUGGAUGUUUUGGUGACGUAGCAAGUUAAACAUAGGAGAGAAAAGUUAUUCCAUAGUGGAGAUACAGCUUGGGCUCGAUAUCCAAGAUUAAAAAACAUGCUCAUUGUUUGGGUCCCAUGGAUGGGCACAAACACAUAUCAAUUAAAUGUAUUCAGUGGCAUAUGAAACAACAAUACGAUACAAUGCAUUGCAUAUAUAAGUUGCUUCUACAAACCUAUUUGAUACUCCCUCCGUCCAUUUAUUGGAAUCGUUUUAGCUAUGUGCGCAGUGACCAAGGGGGAGCUGGUGGAACCCGGUUUGCCAUUAAAUCGGUGCUUUUCUUUAACUCCGCAUGCGUCUGUUAAGUUACCGAGUAAACGCUACUUUCAGUUUCAAUCGGCAGGCCGUUACUGCGCGCUAAUCCCUCUUGAAACGCCGUUAGCGCACGCGGCAGGCUUGUUUCAGUUUCAGUCGCCAGGCUCCUUUCAUUUUCAGUCGCAGAAACAACGCGCGCUUAUGCCUUUCAUUUUCACGCGCGCUUCUUUGCCGCGCGAUGCCUUUCAUUUUCACUCGCCAUAAAUCACACGCGUGCAGUUCUCUUCAGUUUUGGCCGCUGCAUCAAAGCACCAAGCUCCUUUCCUUCCAUGCUGUAGCCUUUCAGUUCUCUUCUUUCUCUCUAUCUCUCAUUCAUUCUAUAGCACACCAACGAUGCCCGGGAUAGAGAUUGACUUGAACCAAAAUCCACCAGAAUCAACCUUAGAUAAUCCUGUAGAUUGGGAUGACAUAGGGGAGUGGGAUGGCCCUGCCAAUGAACUCGAUUAUGCCAUGAUCUGGAAUGAUGAAUAUCAAGGUGAUUAGUUAACCAUGAUCCAUGAUGUGUUCUGUCUUCCUUCUGCGUGUGAUCUGAUUUUUUUUUGCUGCUUGUGUUCCAUGUCAUAGGUGAUCAAGAUAGAGAUGGACGAACUGAAGGAGUGCAAGUACCUGAUGCCGAUGGCCAAGUAGCAUAUGGAGAUCAAGAUGUGCAAGCAGAGGGUCUUUCAAAUGGUGAUUUUCAAUUUCAUCUCUUAAUCCUUUUAGAUGAACUACCUGUGUUACAAAUUUUCAGUGACAUGUGCUAUCUGUACCUGUGUUACAUUAACAUGCUUCUGUCGUACAAAUUUGCUAUCUGUACUAAUGACAUUUGCUUUUAGAUCAAAUUUGCUAUCUGUACUAAUCACAUUUGCUAGCAGAGAUCAAGACGUGCAAGCAGAGAUCACAUUUGCUAUCGGUGUUACAUUAACAUGCUUCUGUUGUAUACAAAUUUGCUAUCAGUGACAUGUGCUAUCUGUACUAAUCACAUUAACAUGCUUCUACUGUACAGGUUCCAAUAAUAACAAACGAAGAUUCUACUCGGAUGACUUAACAAUCGCCAUAUACCUAGAGCUAUUGGCAAAAACUGAUCCUCCUAUUCUGCGCCAUGGGGUUUCAAAGGGAGUUGCACGAAAAUUUAAUGUGCCUCUAAGAGUUGUGCAGUCCAUUUGGAAAAAUGGACAAACUGGUGGAGUAAAUGGUGUUGUGAACAAAUGGUCUAAGAAUUGUGGUAGGAAAAGAAUAGAAAUAGAUUUGGAAUCCAUAAAAGACGUUCCUCUUAGUCAGCGCACCACUUUUCAGGAUCUUGCUAAUGCAUUGGGUGUCAAGAAGAGCACACUUCAUAACCGUUUCAAGGAAGGAUAUUUUCGUCGACACACUAAUGACAUCAAGUUUAGCUUGACUGAUGAAAACAAGAAGGCCCGCGUCAAGUAUUGUUUAUCCAUGGUGAAUGAUCAGUCUCUGUCUUUUAAACCAAUGUACAAUGUCGUGUACAUUGAUGAAAAAUGGUUCUAUAGGACUCGUAGGAACCAAAAAUAUUACCUUGCCAAUGAUGAAGAAAGACCACAACAAGCAAUUAAAAGCAAAAAUUUUAUUGAGAAGGUGAUGUUCCUAGCUGUGGUUACGAGGCCUAGAUUUGCUGACAAUGAUCAAUGCAUUUUUGAUGGUAAACUAGGUAUUUUUCCCUUUGUGAAAGUAGAGCCAGCAAAGAGAUGGAGCCUAAACAGGGACGCAGGUACUAGAAAUUGCUAACUUUUUUUUCCGAAUUCUCCUGAAUGAAUUAUGAGUCUUACUAACAAUGUUUACAUCUGUAGGUACCCUUGUAACAAAGGCCAUGACGUCGGUAACAAAAGAAGUUAGCCGAGAUUUUCUUGUGAACAAGGUUCUACCCGCAAUCAAAGCAAAGUGGCCAGUAGAAGAGAGAGGUUUGCCCAUAUACAUACAGCAAGACAAUGCUAAAACUCAUAUUGAUGUGAAUGACCCUGCAUUUGUUCAUGCUGCCCAAGCAGAUGGUUGGGACAUUAGGCUCACAUGUCAACCUCCCAAUUCUCCUGACCUUAAUGUAUUGGAUCUCGGUUUUUUUGCCGCAAUUCAAGCACUGUUUGAAAAGGGAACACCAAACAACAUUAACGACAUUGUGGCAAAGGUUGAUAAGGCAUAUAUGGACUAUCCUGUGCAAAGGGCCAACCGUAUUUUUCUAACCCAACAGGGUUGCAUGAUGGAGAUCAUGAAGCACAAUGGAGGCCAGCACUACAACAUCCCUCACAUGAAGAAAAAAACUCUAGAGCUACAAGGAUGUCUUCCAACUUCUCUGAGUUGCCCUAUGCAACUUCACAAUCAAGCCAUGCAGUUCAUCGGUAGUUAGAAUUAGAAGUCAUGGAAACUGCAAGCAAUAUUAUCCCUUGUUUCUCAAAUGCAAUUCAUCUUGAACAUGAAAAUUUUUAUCCAUCAGCUAACAGAGACUAGUACUGCUAAAUUUUCAUCUUAGUGCCCACGACCAAUCCAAAGCAGGGUUGCUGCAGCAUCAUUGGCAUCCUUCUCGUGGUGUCCAUACAAGAGAGGCAAUAGCACAGGGAGCAUCAAAGUAGAGGCUUCAUGAUUCACCUUGUCGGAUUGAAACUUGUUAACAUCAGUUGAAGAAAACUUCACUAGGGCAUACACGGCAUCAGGUUCGUCGACUUCGGCGUCAGGUUCGUCGACUUUGGCGAUAUCCAUCUGGGAGUCCGGCACCUCGGUCUCACCUGCAAAAGAAUCCAUCACGAACUACACCUCGCUGUCGGCCAUGGGGUCUUCAUCUUCUUCGGUAGAAUCGGGUGCCCAGUUGACGACGGCCUUGCUCUUCUGCCUCUCGUCGUCCUUGGUUCUUGAUGGGAGCGACGGGGAGGUGCAUGCAGGCAGGCUGAUGACGGCCUUGCCCUUCUGCCGCUCGUCGUCCUUGGGUGCUGAUGGGAGCGUCGGCGAGGUGCACGCAGGCAGGCUGAUGACGGCCUUGCCGUUCUGCCGCUCGUCGUCCUUGGGUGUUGAUGGGAGUGAUGGCGAGGUGCAUGUAGGCAGGCUGACGACGGCCUUGCCGUUCUGCCGCUCGUCAUCCUUGGGUGUUGAUGGGAGCGACGGCGAGGUGCAUGCAGGCAGGCGAUGGCGAUCCAUCGCAUGCAGGCAACGAUGCCCUUCUGCCUGGUACCCCCUGUGUUCCGUCCGGCCGUCUUGUCCCGCUGGACGUGAAUCCUAACGGAUAGGAACGGAGCUGCUUUUUGAAGAACGGAAAGACUGCGCCCCUUCAAUUGCCGCGUACAAAACGUACGAAACGAGGAGCCACAAACUUAAACGAUGCCAAUUCUUGGAAAGGAUUUUUUUGCUAAAACGAUUCGGAUAAAUGGACGGAGGGAGUACUAUCCUAGUGAUAUGGUAGUCUUGGAUCACCAUAUCAUGUUACAAUGGACUAGGAUUAGUCUAAGGCAUAAACAAUAUUGUUACAUUCCUUUAUAAUAUAUUUUUGGAGAACAAGGAUAAUAUGGUGGCGCUCUUGGAUUGUACAUAACCCAUAGCCUAUUCGCCCAGAAGAUGGUGUCCAAAACAUCUAGAUUUCAGUUAGCUGUAGAAAAAAACAUCACAAGCGUAUGUCCUAUAUCCUCAAACUUUGCAUGCAACUUCGUGAGCAUUUGAUGUUUGCUUGACCUCCCUGUCCUUGUUGCUCCACCUUUGCCUAUGCCUAGGCCUAGCUGAUCACAUUCAGCGGCAUUUUCACACUGCGCCUUUGUGAACAUUGCUGUCAGCUAAUCCAUCUUGUACUCGUCUUGUUUGAGGUGCUAUGGUAGGAUGGUGGGUUGGUAGGCCGACGACGAAACAAAAGAAUGAGAGCUUGGCGGGUCGCAUGCAGCAUCUGCCAUUCCACUUCAAUCCCUCUCAUUCCACUUCAAUCCACUACUAUCCAAACAAGGUCUUAGUACAGAAAACGGGCAUCCCUGUUUUGGGUUGCAGGUUUUAAUUUGCUGUGUCUCUUUCCUUGGAUCUGUCUACCUCAUGUUUUGAGAUUGUUAUCAAGUGGGCACUUUGGUCUAGUAAUAGACCACUAGAUUGUUAUUCUAGUAGUUGACAUGUAAAGGUGUAGUGAUGUGCAGUACAAGUAUCUGAUGCUUUUCCCAUCAAAAAAAGUAUCUGAUGCUUUGUGUGUGCUACUGCUCUAAACGAUUUAGUUUGCAUCUCAGUCAACUCAGUUCUAGCAUCUUAUUUCCAUUUGCCCAGACUAACAACAACCUGUUGCUGGCAUUACACUUACUUAAUUACAUAUACAUUUCAAAGUUCAAAUCCAAACCAUAUUACUUAGGCUACUUUCACCAACAUUAACGGCACUGGAAUUAACCUGCCUCAUAACCC
rnacentral:lncRNA from 1 species